rnacentral:lncRNA from 1 species
AUCAAAGUGCGUUGGGGGACAUAGCAAUCAUUGGGAAGUUGAAGAAUCUAGAAGUCCUUAGCUUUUUGAAGUCUGAUAUUAUGCAGUUGCCCGAAGAACUAGGUCAAUUGAAUAAGUUGAGAUUGUUAGAUUUAACAAAUUGUUUCCAACUGAAAGUUAUUGCGCCCAAUCUCAUAUCAAGCUUAACUCGACUAGAAGAGCUGUAUAUGGGUAAUUGCUUCAUUGAAUGGGAGGUUGAAAGAGCCAACAGCAAAAGAAGUAAUGCUAGCCUUGACGAAUUGAUGCAUUUACCUCGGCUAACCACUCUAGAAAUUGACGUUAAAAGUGACAAUAUUUUACCAGAAGGUUUUUUGGCCAGAAAGCUCGAAAGGUUCAAAAUAUCUAUUGGAAAUGGGUUAUUCAUGCAUCCCAUGAGUGUUGGACAACAUUGGUUUAAAAGUCGGCCGCGCUUUUCGAUCAACAGUGAUCGCAAGAGUUUAAGAUCAUUGAAGCUCAAGCUUGAUUUUAUGGACAUUUGCUCCAUGAAAUUGCAGGGCAUCAAUAACGUUGAAUACUUAUGGUUGGACAAGCUGCAAGGCAUCGAGAAUGUUCUUUUCAAUUUGGACACGGAGGGCUUUUCACAAUUGAAGCUUCUCUGGGUUCAAAAUAAUCCUGACGUCUUUUGUAUCGUCGAUUCAAGGGAGAUGGUCGCUUGUGAUGCCUUUCCUCUUUUGGAGUCACUUACCAUUCACAAUUUGAUCAACAUGGAGAGGAUAUGUAUUGAUCGGCUCAAAGUAGAGUCUUUCAACAAACUCAAAAACAUAGAAGCAUAUAAUUGUGAUAAAUUGAGUAAUAUCUUUUGGCUCUGUACUACAAAAUGCCUUCCAAGACUUGAGAGAAUUGCAGUUAUUAAUUGCAGCAAGAUGAAAGAGAUUUUUGCAAUUGGGGAAGAAGUUGAUAAUGCAAUUGAGAAGAUAGAGUUUGCUCAAUUAAGAUCUUUGAGUCUGGGGAAUCUUCCAGAGGUUACAAGUUUUUGCUGUGAGGUGGAGACUCCUUCAGCAUCACCGAACAGACAAGUGUCACAACACGAAUCGACGACUAUGUUUUGCUCCAGCGAAAUCACUUUGGAUAUUUCAACUCUGCUUUUCAACGAGAAGGUGCGUAGGCUAACAUUUUCUUUAUAUAUAUAUAUAUAUAUAUAUAUAUAACAGACUUUAUUCUAUCAUACGUUCUCUUUUGAUGUCAUACGUGGAAAAUAAAUACAUCAUUUAAAGAAUUGAAAGAAAAUGGAAAAAAAGGAUAAAAAGAAUCUCACGCGCUCACUAAUUAAGCUCUUAACAAGUAGUAUGAAUUAGAAUGCAUUCUCAGCUGUCAGUUGGAAAUUGAUUCUGACUUGCAUUAUUUUGUAAUCAAAGAAGAAAAUUUCAACAAGUGCUUCCCAUAUGGAUGGAUCUAACGAGAAAUUCUUAUUUUUUUAGGUUGCGUUGCCUAACUUGGAGGCUUUGGAGAUAUCUGCAAUUAAUGUCGACAAGAUUUGGCACUACAAUCAAAUUCCGGCGGCCGUGUUUCCUCACUUUCAAAGUUUAACACGAUUAGUUGUGUGGUACUGUGACAAACUGAAAUACAUAUUUUCAGCGUCUAUGAUCGGAAACCUCAAGCAGCUCCAACACCUAGAAGUACGCUUCUGUGAGGAUUUCUGAGAACAGAGCAGAUGAAGUGAUCCCUUAUUUUGUCUUUCCACAGCUCACCACUUUGAGACUCCAAGGUCUACCAAAACUUAGAUGUUUGUACCCUGGAAUGCAUACUUCGGAAUGGCCCGCGCUAGAAAUUCUUUCAGUGCAUCGUUGUGACAAAUUAAAGAUAUUCACUGAAGAUUUAUCGCAGAAUAAUGAGAACGAUCAACUUGGCAUUCCUGCACAACAGCCCCCAUUGCCGUUGGAAAAGGUAUGAAGCCAUUUUCUAGAUUUUUUGUCUACAGCUUAUUUUUAACUUUGAAAAAUAUGGCAAAGCAUCGAUAAAUUAAUACUCAAUAAAUUGAAAACUUUUAUUAUACAAUAAUCUUUGUUAGUCUAGAUUAAGAGAUCAAUGUGGUAGAUUAAUAAUUAUAUGAACUUUUUUUGGUAGAGCAUUUAUAAAAGAAUCCUUAGUCUUUCCAUAUAGAAGAACUUACAAAAUAAAUUAGUAAUUUAUUAUUGUGCAAUAAAAUAAUUUCGAGCCAGUAUAAAUCAACCUUUUUCCCUAAUUUCUUUUUUACCUCUAAAAUUAACAUAUAAAAUAAAUUUUAUCAAUAAUUCAAUUUUUUUAAAAUAUAAUAUAAAACAAAUAUUAUAAAGUCACUGCGUGUGACCGUAGAUCAUCAAUUGACCUCAUUAGUUAUUAUGAUUGAUGAUGAUCAGAUCGUACCCAACUUGAAGGAACUAUCACUAAGUGGAAAAGAUGUGAAGAUGAUUUUGCAGGCCGAUUUCCCACAACACCUUUUUGGCAGUCUUAGAGAACUAGAGAUUGCUGCAGAUGACACAGCUUGUUUUCCAAUCUGGAACGUACUGGAGAGAUUUCACAAUCUCGAAAUACUCACACUGUCUGUUUUUUUCAUUCGACGAAGAGGUAUUUUCGAAGGAAGGAUGCUUGGAGAAACAUUUGGGGAAGUUGGCAAUGAUAAAAGAAUUAAAGCUGUACCGGCCCUAUCAUCUGAAGCAGCUGUGCAAACAAGAUUCCAAACUUGGCCCCAUUUUUCAGUAUCUUGAAAUUCUAGGAGUAUAUCAUAGUCAAAGUCUGUUAAUUCUAUUGCCAUCAUCAUCGGUAUCUUUUCGGAACCUAGCAAAACUUGUAGCUUUCGGUUGCAAGGAAUUGAUACACUUAGUAACAUCCUCCACAGCAAAAACUCUAGUGCGACUGGUCAAAGUGCAAGUAUAUGGAUGCAGAGCAAUGACAGAGGUGGUAAUAAAUGACAAAGAUGGAGUUGAAAAAGAAGAGAUUGUUUUCUGCAAAUUGAAGACGUUGCAACUGUUUGAUUUAGAUAGCCUCACAAGUUUCUGCUCUGCCAAUUACACCUUCAAAUUCCCAUCUUUGCAAGAGUUGUGGGUGAUUGGUUGUCCCAAGAUGAAGACUUUCACUACAGGAGAAUCAAUCACGCCUCUAAGAGUAAACGUCUGCUAUGGAGAGACAUCGAAUCAACGGCGUUGGGCUAAUAAUGAUCUAAACACAACCAUACAACAAUUACAUGCUGAGAAGGUACGUAUAUACAUAUUACUCUCUAUCUCCCAUGAUAAUUUUUUACAAAAUUUGCUUUCUUAAAUACAAUAUAGAUAAGAUAUUUGAUGAAUAAGAAUUUUACUUUCAGCUGUUGGCGGUGUCGUCGUCAUACUCUACGCAGUACGACUAAUUUCAUAGGCUUCUUAUGACUUGGAGUUGCAAAUUUUUAGAAGAAAGUCUCAACUGGUAAUUAAUUUUUAUUUCAUUUAUUUAAUCCCAUGGCUUGUUUCGCAAUUUCAUCUGAAUUAUUUAGAAUGGGUCCCUCGGUUUACUGUUAAAUUUGCAAUGCAAUUUUAAUGAUCCUUUCAGACUUUUAUGGACAGAUUUUGCAUAGUUGAAUGUCUUUUUAGUCUACUUUAAUUUGAGUUUUUCAUUUUUUUUUUAGAGCUCCCCUUGUUUUCUAAAAUUUUAUAAUUCCUUGCAUACUUUUUAUGAUAAAAUUUCAUUAAAAGCCUUCAUAUUUUAUAAUUCAUUGAAAACGUGCAUACUUUUUCCUUUUUUUUCUUUGCCAAUUAUUUAUUGUCAUCAUUGCUGUUCUUUUAUUUUAGUUUGUGCUCUGUUUGUUCAUUGGGUUUGCUUUUCGGAAAGUUAGAAGGCAAGGAAAGUACUUAGAAAAUGUUCUUCCCUAUGAACACAUAAUUCACAGCUGAAUAUCAUUCAUUGGAUUCAAAAAAAUUAAAAUAAAAAAAAAAAGUAAUCAGCCCAUUAUUCCCAGAACAAAUCCUUAAACCAUCAAACGUUAGCUAUGAACAAGUAUAUUGGUCUAUAGCAUAUUCAUAAUAUUUUUUCUGCUGUUCUGGUUAAAAUUUCUCUACUCUGUGAUUGCAGAAUGUCUGGAUACUGAUGAAGAUUUAAGUCACUCUUCUUCUGUGAAUAAGGUCGUUUUUCUUUUUUCCUCUAUUCAAAAUUUCCAUUCUGAGGGGUUCCCAUUUCCAUCUUCGUGAUCUUCUUGUGAUAGUAUGAGUUACAACCUGUCUGUUUCCUUUAUUUGAUCAUCGCAAGUUCAAAGACAUUUUAUUCUAGCUAAGCUCUUUGUAUGUAUUAUAACAUUUUUAUUCUCAAUAUAUAGAACUCAAUGAGAGGUCUUUUAUUAUACAUGUGUCAUGAAUUUCUAUUGUAUUUUGAGAUUUGAUGGUGUGUUAUCGUCCCAUUGCAAGGUCUUGUAAUCACUCUGAUUCUCAUUUGAGGAGGUUGGUCUCGUCUAUGUGUAUGUAUUUAUAUCCACAAGAAAUUUGAUAAAUGGUCUGGUCAUUUUCUCAUUAAAACAUCUAGUGCUUCAUAUGUUGGAGGGCUACCAGGCAUCAGGGCCAGAUUUUUAAACUCUUCUUCGUGUCAUUUUUUAACAAUAAUAAGGAAGCCCAAGAGAAAAUCUAGAAGUCCUAAUAAGGACCGCUUCUGUAUUGUUCAUUUUCUUAAUUACCUUCAUUAUUAUUUUCGUUUUCAGUUGAUCAAACUUCAGUUCCUUAGCAUUAAUCUAAUUAUGUACUUCAUCUAGAAAUCCUUAAUUUACUCAUCAAAAUGUGAACGCUUAGAAAACUAAGGCAAUAAAUAUAAAGGUACUACCUAAGUUUAUCAUCACAUAUGAUCACCACUUGAUAAUCAAAUAAUCAUAAAAGCAUAUAAAUUCAAAUUAGUGUAUCAUUUACACUAUAAGAAAUAGUUGUAUUACCGACCAGACAUUUCCACAAUAUACUUUUUACACUAUAAAUGCUUUUGAUGGGCUUCAUCUUUGGUUUCGGCUUCGCCGACAAAUAUCUCACAAACAUUCUGCCUUCAAGCAACAACACAACUCCCACUCUAAAUGUAUUUUAUACACUCUCAAACGCACCGUUUUGAUUUGUGUUAUAAAUUUGACGCUGCCAUUGUUUUUUUGUUUUUGACAGGCAUGGCUUUUCUUUUUAAGCCUUUCCUUUUAUCUUUUAUAGCCAUCUUCCACAUCAUUUCUCUUCCAAGUAAUCUUAAGAAAUAUUUCUGUUCUUCUUCCAAGUAAUCUUAUCAUUUCUCUCAUUUUAUUCGUUCUUCUCUUUUCAAGUCUUCAAUCUUAUACUCAGUAAAUAUAUUAAACUGCUUUUUCACUUCAGUUCCAGACAACUGAGAAGGUGUUUGUCCCUACUCUCUAGUUUUAUUCAAAGACACUAUAUUUUCGAAACCUAUGAUUUGUUGGGAAAAAUCGACGGUGACCCACGUGACAAAAUUUUCUACUAUGUAUCAACCAAUUAGAUCCAGUGCUUUGUUGGCAAACAAGACAUGCUUAUUUACCUUUAAUACUCCACCCAGACAAGUUGCCACUGAUAGUUCAUAACAAUGCUACGUGUAACUUGAACAUUUGAUUACGUGAUGUACUGUAUCAUUCCAACCAUAUCAUCAUCAGCCACUUCCCUUAUAACGAAAUAUAGAUUACAACACUUAUCAAGAAGGACAAUAAAUUCUUGUACCACCAACAACAUUCUCAAAUACAAAAUCUAUAAAUUUUUCAACGCCAUCAGUAUAUGACUUGGAUAUCUAUUUGGCAAACCAACCCAACACUUGUCCAUGACUAUCUCCUUUUAAUGCGCUAAAAAAAUUAGUUCUUCAUUUCUACUACUAAACAAGAUAUUUUCGUGUGUGCACAGUUUUGCAAUAUAAUAAAAAGAUCAUUUUACAAUUUUAUGGUUAAUUUCAUUAGAAUUUACAUAUAUGAAAGCAAACAAAGCCACAAGAAUCAGAGAAAAAGAUGUGACAAUCAAAGUAUAUAAUCAACGAUAAUUAAUGUAAAAAACAGUUUCCAAUACCUUCUGUAAAGAAAUAUCCUUGCCAAGUGCUGAGAACUUCACUUGGCUAUCAAUUACAGAUAUAUAAAGCCUGUAACCUAGAAACAAAAAAUUAGGUCAGCAAGUCCUGAAACAUUUUUAUAAACCAACAUUGGAGAUAGCACUCCAUUUACAAACAAAAUUACAAGCUCAAAACCAAGGUCAACUCAGCAAAAUCAUCACCAAUUACAUUCAUCCAACUCAGCUCCUACACUACCCUCAAUAUAUCCAACAUUCCCUUCAUAUUUACCAACCGUAAGUAAUCCUACAUAUCCCACUCAAGAAUGCGUAAGUAUUUUCAAUCUCAAGUACCUAAAGUUUUAUUCUACAUUUAUAAAAAUUUCAGCACCAUCUCCCUAUAAUUCUCCAAGCACGCGACAUAGCUAUAUAAGUGUUUAUGCGUUAUGCCAAAACAACACAACACCCAUUCACCUAGUACGUUCCCAGAGAACACGAGGAGCAGCUACUGAAAAACCCAUUUUUACGUGGGAAGAAACUUCAGCUACUAGCUACCAGAGAGAAGUAUGCAUUCCCAAACUGUCCAAGCCCGGACAAUUCAAGAAUUAUUAAUAGACAUAUGAUCCUCACUAUCAUCCAAAUAUGACACUAAUAAAACAUGUGUCUAUUAAUAAUUUCUUAAACAAGUCUAAGCUUUUAAUGCACGUAUCAAAAGUUUAAAAUUGAAUCUGAAAUUUGAAUAACACAUAAAUAUCAUAAAUCUUUUCAAGUUAUUCCUGAUACAAUGUAGGCAUGUAGCAUUAUUUCACAUAUCAUUUCUUAAGCAAAACCAUAAAAAAAUACAAAUGAUAAAUACAUUUUCGUACUGAUGCAGAUUAUGUUUACUGAGCAAUAAGUUUUAAGUCAUUCAUGUUGAAAUACUUCUUCCUAUUCUUUCAACAUAUAACUAGUACGUACACACAAUUAAUAAAUAAAUAAAUAACCUGGUGGUGAAUCUUGCAAAAUCUUCCUUUUUUUUGUGGGGGGGGGGGGGGGGGGGGGGGGGGGGGGGGGGGGGGGGGGGGGGGGGGGGGGGUGGGGGCGCUAUGAAUCUUGCAAAUCCUCGGGAAGCCAUGUUAAGACAAGGCCAGCUUACUAUUAGGGUAUGAAAGAUAAAACCUUUUAUUUCCUUUUCAGAAUAAAAAGGACAUUGACAGUGUUAAAAAAAAUCUAGAGGAUUUCAGGCCUCCAGAUCCUUACAAAUCAAGGAUAUUAAAAAAAAUUACUUAGAGGAGAAAGGUUAUGCUCAUUUGUAUCUUGUUAGAAGAAAUUGAUCCAAAGCCUCAGUUUUAAUUUGCUUCAUACAGCCAAUGACUAGGUGUUUAAAAACCAAUGAAUAUUUUUAUAAGAAAUCAACAAUAUUGUUGAAAGAAAAACCAAAUAAAAAUAAUAAAGCCAAUGAAUAGAUCAAGGCUCUUUAUGGUCUAAUAACUAAUCAAACUAAGUUGUGGGCAAAGGCGAAUAUGUUUGUUUGGUCGAAAAUAAGCUCAACAAAUCACUAAUAAUCACCUAAUCACUAUUCUUUAUGCUAUGCAAUAUAAUGGCCUGGGUAAUGGCGCCAAGGCAGAAAAUAACUAGCUAGCCAGUUAUGAUAGUUGAUUAACUUAACCUACUGGAAAUCCGAAGACCAAAACGAAGAAGCUUUGCCUAGAACUAGAAUAGGAACAUUCAUACCCAAAACUAAUAUACACGAUUAAGAAACUUGAUUAUAUGUAUAUUUCUGUUGGCCACACUGAAAGAGAAUUUUCAAAAGAUGCUAAGGUACACCAAAUCCCACUAUUUCAUACUCAUAAACACAAAAAACCAAGGAAAAAAUUAAUGACUAUAUAAAAUAAAAUCGGUCAUAGGACAUUGAGAUUAGGACAACUUGAUUUGUAUACCGUAAAAUAACUAUAUCUGCAUAGUGAACUAUAUUUCUGUUAGAACUCUGAAGUUUUCUAUUAAAUUUUUUUCUCUGUUAGGUAAACCACUUAACUGAAAUGCUUAAGCCAAUAUUGACAAUCAUAGACAUAAAAGUAUUAAUAGGCUCAUUCAAGUGAAAUGAGCAUUAUUUUACACAUCCUUUAGGAUUUUAAGUCAUUUAGAAGUCAUUCAUGUUAAAAAAAAAAAAAAUUCAUAUACUUUCAAUAUAAUUAGUACAUACACAAUUAAUUAAUUAAAUAAAUCUGUUUCAGCUAGUAUAGGAACUUAAUUAAUCAAAGCUAGUAGUUAUAGCUAGGACUUGAACGAGGCACCUUUCAAAGUUCAAGAAGAGCAUCUGAACAGAAUGAAAGCACUUUGUAGAAAUGAUAAUGAUGCUUUACACAAUAUGAACUUUCAUUUAUUCAAGAACAUAACACUACUCCAAGCUCUUAUUCUACGAGUCAAUCCAGUUUGUAGAUGCACGCCAUUGUAAAAGCUUUUGUAUUAUAAUUUCUGAAAAUAGAACAUAACAUUAUUAAUAUAGAAUCAGCAAUGUAUAUAACUUAUCAGACAAUAUAACAAGCACUUGGUGAGCAUACAAGAUAAACCAAAACAAGUUAUCUAGAAAAUGAAACUAAAACCCAAGCUCCGCUAUUCAUUGUAGAUGCUUUAAACAUAAAAUUAAACUAAAUCUAAUAGCAAAACAUUAGAAUGGAUGUUGGAAUUAAAGCUAAAUUCAAUAGUAAUUCAAAUGAAUCCAUUUGAACUUUGUAAAUUCCGCAGAACAAAAUUAAUUUGAGUGAGCAAACUCACCAAUGGAACAAGAACGCAGGGGCUUCAACUUGUACGAAUAAAAAAAUAUUGCUGGCGGGACAAAAAUUGACAAUAACGGCUACAAUACGAAUUAAAAAAAAUCAAAGUCUAUAAUUACAAGUUAAGUAAGAGAAGAAACUCAUAAUCACAAGCUUACCUCAAAAGAUGAAGGGAGAAUACGAUGAAGAAGAAGAUGCCCGGCGUUUUACGCCGUUCGCUGGCAACCAGUUAUGUUUACGAUGGUGGCCAGUAACACGGACUCCAGCGAAUACUUUUCUAACUGGAAAUAAAUUUAAAAUUCUAAAAUAUUAGUAUACCGAACGGCUCUUCACCGUCACGCAGUUCGUAACAUAUGUGACAGCAGUGUGGCCGUCACAUAAAGGGUAACAAAAGCAACUCGGGGUUACAGAGUUAGAAGUUAGUGAUAUGCGUAAUGGCUGCUUUUGCAUUCACAUUAGGGGUCACAUAUACCCUAUUUUCUUGUAGUACAUGGUAAAUUCUAUUUGAAAAUUGCUCAGUAUUUUAGAUUUGUACGAAAUCAUUUUUGUGUGCUCGUUGGAUAAUAAUAUAUAAUAAAUUAAAAUUUUAGUGUAAUUUUCACAAUAUUGUAUUAGAAAUAUGUCUCGUUGAAAGGUUUUGAAAUCGUUUGAUUGAUCAUAAUUGUUAUUUCGACAGUUGCAAAAGAUGCCAGAGAAAAUUUGAUUAUCUUAAGAAAUGAGUGCAUGAGAUAUGAAAUCAACCAUACCAUAAAAUCAAAUUUUAUCGUUUCAUUCUUCCUGGUUCAAAUUUAUGGAAACAAUAAUCAAAUGCACCCAUGAACUAGUAUAUUCCGACAUAUGUACCAUCAAAUUUUUGCUAUAUCAUACUUAUAUAUGUAUAUUGAAAUUUUAAUAACAACAAUUGGGCCAAGCGUAUGUUGGUACUUGAAGAUUUAUAAGCUCCAUCCUUGAAAAAAUAAGGCUUGAUUGUUCUCAAUCUAAUUCUUUUUGUUUUAAGUUCUUAAUUAAGCUUUCUUGCUUGUUUUCAAGAGCCAGUUUUGUAGUGAUCGAAAAACAUGAUUUGCAUGUAAUGCACUUGGCAUUUAUGCGUCACUUAUUAAUUAGAUUUAAAUUUUAUAAAUUAGUUAAGCUGAUUAAUACUGUGCAUGUGCACUAAAUGAUAAAUACUACAUAAAUUGGUAGGAGUGGGCAAAACCGGGUUCGGGUCGGGUCGGGUUCGGAUCAACCCGAUCGGAUUUCGGGUUGUUCGGGUUUAACAAAAAUUAAUCCGAAUACAACCCGAACUUCCCACCCGACCCGAUCCGAUCCGAUUUAUAUUCGGAUUGGGUCAGGUCGGGUUGUGAAUUCAGGUUGAAAUCGGGUAGGAUCGGGUUGACCAAUUUCCUUGAUUUUGUUACUACCAUUUAAAAACACAUAAUUACAACAAUUAAAUACUAAAUAUUAAUUGUUUAAUUUAACCAUAUGCACCAUCAAUUCAAAUCUUUAAAAAAAAAAGCUUAAAAAAAGCGUGAAAACUCAAGAUUCAAAGUCAAAGGUGAGAAGCUCGGGUUGAAGGAUUGGAGCAGCAGAAGCACCUUGCAGCAGAUUCGCGGCACUUGCAGUAGAUCGGUGGCCGCGGCACUUGUAGCAGCAGACCGACGGACGCGUAGUAGCAUAUUGGCGGCACUUGCAGCAAAUCGGGCAUGGAGACGCGCGGCAAAUCGGCCAUGGAGAUGCGGGUGAGGCUGUGACUUGUGCAACGACCUCCGUUGGCAGCUUGGCGUUGGCCCAACGCCGUUGGGGGUGACUGUGUAUGUGUUUUGUGUAUUGAGAUUGGGGAUUGUGUAAUGAGAUUGGGGAUUGAGGAGAGUUGUGAGUGUUUGUGUAAGUAACCGUGUGUUGUGAAAAUGGGAAUUGUGAUUUGUGUGUGCUGCGUGUGUGUGGCUGUUUGCUUUAGGUUUAGUUUUUUUUUUUUAUAGCAACCCGAUCGGGUUUCGGAUCGGAUCGAACCCAAUCCGAUCAUAACCCGAUCGGGUUUCAUUGUUUUGAUCCGAUCGGGUUUUCUGCACAACCCCAUCCGAUCCGAACCUGAAAUUUUUCGGGUCGGGUCGGGUCGGAUCGGGUAAUUUGCCCACCCCUAUAAAUUGGGACACUAGUAACUAUGCAUCCCAACCAUGUAAUAUUUAUUUGUCACGAAACCAACCACGACAUGAUAUUCUUAAUAUUAUUUAGGAUACCAUUUCAAGCCCCAUGAGGGCUCCUUCCGUUAAAUAAAAAAAAAAGGUAUGAAAUAGGUGUAGAUUUUACUUUAGAUAUUAUUAGUGAGAGUACCUUUGGUGGCAAUGGUCCGAGAUGAUUUGGGAUUUGACCAUUCUACUCUCAUCUUAAUUAUCAAAUGGAAUGUAAGUAUGGAUAAACUCGUCCUGUUUAUAUAUUUGUGAUCAAAAUUAGGACCAAUCUCAAACCCCUCACAAUCAUUUAUAUUAUUGCACCAGUUUAACAAUAAGAUUUACGAAACACAUACGACUGUUUUUAUAACUAAAAGUAUUUUUAAGCUACAAGAUUACCAAAAUGACCCUAAAUCAAACCAAUAAAAAUGUUUUAAAGUAAUAAUAAUAAACCAGAGUAAACGUACAAAAAUUCAUGCAUAAAUUGAUAAUCAACAAAAACAUCCAAAAGUUUAACUCCAAGUUUUCUAUUCAAUUGACAUAACCCUUAAAUUUCAAAAGGUAUAAUCAAUUUUGUGUCUAAUCCUAUAAAAUUAGAAAAUUAAAGAAUAUUAUAUAUUGAUAAUUAAAUAAUAUGCAAUUAAUAAUGUUUAAAAAAAUAAUGUUAAACAUAUUGUCAACUAAAAUAAUUGGGAGAAUUGGAGUUCCAAGAUAAAUUCUUAUCUAGUCCCAAAUCAACAAUUGUGAUUAAUUUCAAUCUUAAACUUUGAAACUCGGACUGCUUUUAAAAUUGGUCCUAAUAAUAUGGACAAAUCCCAUUCUGAUCAAUAUGGAAUCCCAAUCCAUACCUUUGGAUUUCGAUGGUGUUUAGUUGGAGGGAGGAGAGGAAGGAAAUGAAUUCAAAUUCCUUUCACUUUCCUGUUGUUUGGUUUUCACUAAUAAAUGGGAAUUCAAUUUCUAUUGAAAUUUAAUUUUCAUCAAAUUGUGCAUUUUGGAUUCCUCACCGAAGGCUGUAAAAUUCAAAUUCCCUUUCUAUUAGAAAUCGAAUCUUCCAAAAUUGCUCCAAUCAAAUUUUUAUCAAUUAUUUUAAUUAUUAUCAAAUAAUUCUUAUUUAUGAUUUUAUUUUUUCAAUUUAAAUUGUCACUAAGGAGUCGGACUUACUACCACAGAAAAGAAAAAAAAUAAUUUAGUCAGCUGAACUAAUUUUUGUUUUUUUUUUUUUUUAUUAACUUUGAAAUAUUGCAUACAUAACGAGCUGCUAUUGAAAUUAGUGUUAAAAAAAAAAUAGAUGCAAAAGGAGAAACAAGCAUCAUGUGCAGUACCCACUGUGAAAUAUUCACAUUGGAAUAAGUCGUUGGCAGCUGGUCUGUUUGGCCAUUAAUAUUUUGACAUUCAAUGUUCAUUAUGAUCCUAGUAAAUUAAGCCAUAAAAAAUCUAUUGAAAUUACUCACCGUACAAUGAUGGUUGGAGCUGCAUGUAUCAUUUAUUGUUAACAACAAACUUAUGAAAUGCUUUGAAUGUACCUCCGAGGUUGUAUUUACUAUACUAGUUAGGAGAAAUUACGAAGUUAAAUUAUUUGAUAAAUACUUAUUAUAAUUUGAAAAAUAUGUUAAUUUUGUCCUCCACUUUAUGAUAAAAAAUUUAUAAUAUAUAUAAAUCAUUCAUUCUAUAAUCUUGAAUUUUAUUAAAGUUAGAAAAACUAUUACUCUACAUGAUAUAAUAGUGUGAUGUUAUUACACUAUUAUACCAUAUAAAAUAUAUUUACUUUCUUAAAUUUUAAUAAAGUCUAGGUCUUGGAGAGAAGCACUUUAUAUAUAUAUGUAUAUAUGAUUAUUGUCUAGUGACAACAUUCUCAUUUUAACAAAGUGAUGAUAUAUCUAACUAAAAAACGCAUAUUUCAAUACACCAAUAGAUUAAAAAAAAUACAGUUUUUAAUAUGUUAAAAUCUAUAUAUUUUGUAUUAUUAAUAUUUUCACUUUAACAAAGUGGGGUCUCCUCACUAUAGAAGUACUUUAUAAAUAUUCUUUAUAUUUUUGUGAAAAUUAUUAUUUAAAAGUCAUAUUUUCCUAAAAACUAAUAACUUUUAUUUUAUUACUAUGCUGUACUUUUCAAGACAUAACACCUCAAUACCAUGACGUUAAUUAUUGAACUCUGCUGUACAAAGUUGUUGGCUGGUCUAUUUAGCUUAGUCUUUCAAUUAUUUGUCGUUUGAACUGAGAUGAUUCGAAUAAAGCUGUAUAUCAAUAAUUUCCUAGUGAAACUUCGAGAAAAAAUAAAAAUCAUGUCAUACAGUAGCAUUAUUUUUAUUUUCAGCUUGAUUAUGUUUUGAGUUAACUUAUAGAUUAUUUGAAAUAAAAAGAAUAUAAUUUAUUUUUUCUAACUAAAUAUUUUUAAAUAAUUUUGUUAAUUUAAUGAGUAAUUAUACACUUACAAAGUUAUGAUAUAAAAUUAUAUCCCUGAAUCCCAAUCAUAUGACACCAAUUAACUACUGCUAUGUGUUUCUUAGUAUUUAACUUUUUAUACUAUUAUUAAUGAGAUAAUUAUCUUCAACACCAAUAAAUAAAUUUUAUAUUAAUACAUCCUCUGACUUUAUUAUCAAAUGAUUAUAAAUCAUAAUCAAACCAAGCUACCAAAGCCUACUACUAAGAGAUUGAUUAAAGGGUUUUCCAAGAUUUCAAAUUGGAUGAAACUAUGGUGCAACGGUUGCACCGUACUACUCAAUUUUGUCUUUUUCAAUUAAUUACAUCUCAAUACCUAUAUUUUAUAAAAAAGUUGAAUAGACACUAGAAGUUACAAUUUUUUAUAUAUGAGUCCUCUUUUGGGAUAAAAAUGGAUUUUAAAAAAAUUUAACUGUUACUAUUAUUAAUAUUUAUAAAUUUCAUUAUUAUUAUAUUAAUAUUAUUGUUAUUAUUAUUAAAAUUUAUUAUUUUAAUUAUUGUCAUGUAUUAUUAUUACUACCAUAAAUGUCAUCAUUAUUAAUAUUAUUAUUAUCAUUAAAAUUUAUUAUUUUAUUAUUUUAAUUAUUAUGUAUUAUUAUUACUGUCAUUAAUUAUUAUUAUUAUGAAAUUAAUUUAUUUUAUUAUUUUAUUGUUACAAUUACUUUAAUUAAGUCAUUAUUAUUAUUUUAUUAAUUUUAUUACUAUUAUUAAAUAUAUUAACUUUAUUAUUUUAAUCAUGAUUAAUUAUUGUUAUUAUUAUUUUAUUAAUAGUAAUAUUAUUAAAAUUAUUAAUUUUAAUAUUUUAAUUAUUGUCAUGUAUUAUUAUUACUACCAUAAAUGUCAUCAUUAUUAAUAUUAAUAAUAAUAUUAUUAUUAUCAUUAAAAUUUAUUAUUUUAUUAUUUUAAUUAUUAUGUAUUAUUACUAGGGGUGGGCACGGUUCGGUUCGGUUUGGUUCGGUUCGGAUCGAAAUUAAGUAGAACCGAUUUAAAUCGGUUAUUUUAUAAAAAGAACCGAAUAAGAACCGAACUCAAACGGAUCUUUUCGGAUCGGUUCGGUUCGGUUCGGUUUUUUGGUUCUAGGUCUAUUAGGCCUAUUUUAAAAUUUCAAAUUUUUAGCCCAUUGGACCUCAUAAAUGUAAUAAUUGUUUUCAACAAUUAGUUCAUCCUAAUUUCAUUACAAAUAUUAACAAUAAAUACAAAGUAUUCAAAACACAUUUUAUCACUAAUAUCUUAUUAACUACUAAUAAGGUACUCACAAAAUAUGAAAUAUUAAAAUUUCAAAAUACAUAACCAAACUCCAAUACUCCAUCUACAUAAACAUAAUCAUAAUGUUGUAAAGACAAAUAAAAAUAACAACAAUUACAACUUACAACACAAAAUAAAAAGAAAAUUUAGAAACAAACGCCAACAACAUUCUCCCAUCUUCACCCAAAAAAAAAAAUUGCAAACAAAUGCCAACAACAUUCUCCCAUCUUCAUGAAUAUCAACAUCAACUUUAGGCAUUUUCGACUCAAUAUUUGGAUUUAUAAAAAAAAAUUUAACACAUGUCGAUUUGAAUAAAAUAUAAAAUUAAUUCGGUUUUUCGGUUCAGCUAAGUGAACCGAAUACCGAACCGACAUUUCGGUUUUUUUUUACAAAUGAUAUAUUUCGGUUUUUUUUAAAAUAAAAACCGAUCCAAAUUCGAAAAAACCACCGGUUCGGUUCGGUGUUUUUAAGACCACGGUUUUUUUGCCCACCCCUAAUUAUUACUGUCAUUAAUUAUUAUUAUUAUUAUGAAAUUAAUUAAUUUUAUUAUUUUAUUGUUACAAUUACUUUAAUUAAGUCAUUAUUAAUUAUUAAUUUUAUUACUAUUAUUAAAAAUAUAUUGGCUUUAUUAUUUUAAUCAUUAUUAAUUAUUGUUAUUAUUAUUUUAUUAAUAGUAAUAUUAUUAAAAUUAUUUAAUUUUAAUAUUUUAAUUAUUGUCAUGUAUUAUUAUUACUACCAUAAAUGUCAUCAUUAUUAAUAUUAUUAUGAAAUUACUUAUUUUACUCAUUAUUAAUUAUUAUUAUCAUUAAAAUUUAUUAUUUAUUAUUUUAAUUAUUAUGCAUUAUUAUUGCUGUCAUUAAUUAUUAUUAUUAUGAAAUUAAUUAAUUUUAUUAUUUUAAUUGUUACAAUUACUUUAAUUAAGUUAUUAUUAUUUAUUAAUUUUAUUACUAUUAUUAAAAUAUAUUAACUUUAUUAUUAUUAUUAUUAUUAUUAUUAUUAUUAUUAUUAUUAUUAUUAUCAUUAAAAUUUAUUAUUUAUUAUUUUAAUUAUUAUGCAUUAUUAUUGCUGUCAUUAAUUAAUAUUAUUAUUAUUAUAAAAUUAAUUAAUUUUAUUAUUUUAAUUGUUACAAUUAUUUUAAUUAAGUUAUUAUUAUUUAUUAAUUUUAUUACUAUUAUUAAAAUAUAUUAACUUUAUUAUUAUUAUUAUUAUUAUCAUUAAAAUUUAUUAUUUAUUAUUUUAAUUAUUAUGCAUUAUUAUUGCUGUCAUUAAUUAAUAUUAUUAUUAUUAUAAAAUUAAUUAAUUUUAUUAUUUUAAUUGUUACAAUUACUUUAAUUAAGUUAUUUUUAUUUAUUAAUUUUAUUACUAUUAUUAAAAUAUAUUAACUUUAUCAUUUUAAUUAUUAUUAUUAUUUUAUUAAUAGUAAUAUUAUUAAAAUUUAUUAUUCUAAUUAUUAUAUUAUUAUUAAUGUUGUCAACAUCAUCAUCAUCAACAUUAUUAAAGUUUACAUAUUUUUUUGUUUUAAGUAAUAUUAUUGUCAUUAUUAUUAUUUUACCUUAAGUAAAUAUUUAAAAACUUUUAGUUUUUAUGAUUUUGUAACUUACGGUCAGACUGUGAAAUAGUUAGAUAAUCAUUAAUUAUUAUUAUUAUUAACAAUUUAAUAAAAAUAUUAUUAAUUAUUGUUAAUAGAUUAAUUAAUUAUAAUGUUUUUUAUUCUUGUAUUAAUAAUAAAAAUAAUCUAUUUAAAAAAUAUUUAUGAUUAUAAUAAAAUAACAAUUAUAAUUAUAAUUCAUUUAACAAUAAUUAUAUUUUUUAAAUAAUGGAGGUUAUUUGGAAAAUUUAAAAUUAUAGGGGCAAAUUCAUACUCUAGGGUUUUAAUAAAAUAAAAUUGAGUAUAAGGGGUUAAACGAAAUUUUAUAUUUCAAAAAGUUUAUAAUAUUCAUGAAUAAAAUAUAAAUAACAUAGAAUAUGGGGGGUUAUAUAAAAUUUCACAGGCUGACCGUAAGUUACGUUAAAUGUAUAACUUAGGCGGACCUUUAGUGAAAUGCACAAAUGGCACAAGGGACCCCGCCAACCGUUAAGUCACAUCAUUUAUUUAUUUGUGAAUGAAAAAUAAGGUCCUUAUGCUAGUUUGACGAUUAUAAGUUAUCAUCACAAGGUUGUUGGGCGCAUGCAUACUGAGUCACAGCACUGAGAUUCAACUUUUCUGUACAAUAAGAGUUUAUUUGUCUUUUUGUAUUGGGAUAAAAUGGAUCUCCCUCCAACUUUAAGUAAGGCUUAAUAUUCAGGCUGUGCUGUAAUAGAAUUAUUGAGGAGAGUUUCAUUUUUUAUUGUAAAUAUCAGUAGAGCUCUCAUUGUAAUAUAUCAGUCUAUCAAAAAAAAGUUAUCAUCCCAAUAACUUUGGACUUUGAUAUUAAUUUUACUAAUUAUGAAAUUCAUUAUCUAAUAAAAAAAAUAACACAUAACAAUUGGGUCUCAAAUUAGAAUUCUACUAUCGAAAUUCCUAGCAUUAUUCUAAUAUUAAAAAUUCAUCAAAAUAAUAUCUAUUAUCUAAAAAAAUAAAAUAAAAAUCUAAAGCCAUAGAUUUACUUUUCAAUCUUCCUGAUUUGGCUGAUUUCUUUUAAAGCUUUGGUUUCUUUAUAUUUUUAUCGAUCAUUUUAGCGGUGCUGGCAUUUGAUUUUUUUGACUAAGCUACUGUUUAGUUCUAAGUUUUGGCAAUUGCCCGGACUGCUCUGUUUUGUGUAUCUUCGACACAACAAGGCUUAGCAUCUAAAUGUCGGCAGCCACGCAACUUCUUGGAAUCUUCGUGCAAGUGUUGGAUAUCGACUGUUCGAUAAUGAUGGCAGCAUGGGACUGGAGUGUAAUUGACGCAGUGGAAUAAAGAUCACAUGUCUCAAACUUUUGGCGAAGAUAUUGUCAGAUAUUUUAUUGAUUAAGGAUCACAAAUAAUGGAUAUUGGAUGAGAAUCACAUGCUUUACCACAAUCGUAAUGUUACUAAUGUAAGUCAAGCAAUUAUUUUUAAAUAAUGAUAUUAUAAUUAAAAAAUAAAUAAAUAUUUAUAAUAUUUAAAAGAGUAAUUCCGAUUAUUAAUUUUUUUAUAUUACUUAAUUAUUAGCUGACAAAUAAUUAAAAGGUUAUAGAACAGGACUCAGCUACCUUACAACAGUUGCAAGGUACCACCAAAUUUUGACUUUUCUUAAUUUCAGUUUUUUAUCAUUAGAUUUAAUGAAAAGGUGGUUUCAAUGGUAGAGAUUUGUUCAUUUAAAUAUUAACAUUACACUCCUUGAUAUUUAUUAAAGACACAAACAAGUUAAAGAGUUUAAAAUUUUAACACAUAAGUCCGGAUUGUUUACAAUUUAUAUUGUUUAAUUAGUAGUGAGUAUUAAAAAAUAAAUAUUAUUUUUAAUAUUAUAUAUUUUAUUUAAAAGAAUAAAUAAAUAUUAUUUAAUAUUAUUUAUUCCAUUUUAUUUAAUAUUAUUUAGUCAUAUACUUAUUAUUAUAUUUAUUCUUUCAAAAAACUAAAUAACAUUAAAUAAAAUAAAAUAAUCAUUAGGGCGCUUUAAAAAUAAAUAUUAUUUUUAUUUUUGUUUUAUUUAAUCAUUGGCUUAUUAUUAUAUUUAUUAUUUUAAAAAAUAAAUAAUAUUAAGUAAAAUAAAAUAAUCAAUAAUGACUGUUAAAAUUAAUAUUAUUUUUACUUAGUCAUAGGCUUAUAAUUAUAUUUAUUCUUUAAAAACUGAAUAAUAUUAAAAAAUCAAUAGUGUCUUAAAAAUAAUAUCAUUUUAAUAUUAUUUAUUUUAUUUAAGUUAAAUUUUAAUAUUAUUUAUUUUAUUUAAGUUAAAAUUUUAAUAUUAUUUAUUUAAUUUAAAUUUUUUAAUAUUAUUUAUUUUAUUUAAUAUUAUUUAGUCAUAGGCUUAUUAUUAUAUUUAUUCUUUUUUAUAAAGAUAAAUAAUGUUAAAUAAAAUAAAAUUACAUUUUAUAAAAGUUACCAGCGAAAGCAUACAAAAUUAUAAAUAAAUGUAAAAAAAUAAAUAAUAUUAAAUAAAAUAAAAUUACAUUUUAAAAUGUCACUAGCUAAAACAUAUAAACUUAUAAAUAAAAUGUAAAUAAGAAAGAAAGUAAGGUAUUAAAUGAAAUGUAACGUCACAUAAAACAAAAAUAAGUGGCACAUUACAACUGUUGCAAGAUAGCUGGACUCAUAAAACAAUAUUUUUAGGUCAAAUUUUUAUUCUGAUACGACACAACUUGUACUUUCAUUCCUAUGCUAAAAUAUAUCUAACCUACUAAUAGUCAAGAAAUAUAUCUAUUCAACACAUAUUUGUUAGAAAGAUUAUCUACUAAUUAAUCAUUGAGACGAGAUUACGAGCCUCAACAUAAAUUAGGAUAAAAAUUAAUAUAUUGAAAUUCAUAAUUUUUUUUUUCCUUCAGCAGUUUAAAAUGGAGUCGCCCACUAGUACUGAAAUAAUUUUAUCAGAUUCGCUUGAAAGUAGUUUUACAAGCAAGCAGUUUUUCCCUCUUGAUCCCCGUAAUCGUCAGCUCCUACUCUUUGCCUUCAAUUCUCAGUCAAGAAAACCUCUCCUGAUUUUCGUCUUUUGAUCUCAUACACACUUUGCUUCUGUUCAUCGUGGUCGCUGCUCGUGCUAGCCGUUUUCUUAUUUAGCUUUGUUCCCUUUUGCCAUCAGCUCUUCGCAUUUUCAUUGGAUCAAGCAACCCUUUUCUUGAUUCAAUUGUCUGAUCUCAAAAACACUUUGAUUCUCUUCUGUUACGCUGAUUUUCCCUUGUUUUGUACAAAUAUCAUUUCUUUUUUCAACUUUGCCUUGUUUUGCUUCUGCUUGAUUAUCAAUUGCGCGGCCGUUGACCCUGUUCUAUUUCUAUUUCGUUCACUUCCCCAAAAAAUAAAAAAUGGACAUUUUGAAAAGCAUUGUUCCAGGAGUUGUGAACUGCUUGUCUCCUCACGCACAACGCGAAUUUAGUUAUUGGUAUAACUCCGCUGCCAACUUUGAGAAUCUCAAGGCAGAACUCGAUAGGCUCAAGGAUGAAAGAGAAAGCAUUCAGCGCAGAGUUUCUGAGGCUGAAAGAAAAGGUGAAAAGAUUGAAGAGAAGGUUGAGAAAUGGCUGGUUAAUGCGAACAAGAGCAUUGAGGAGGCAGCCAAAUUCAUUCAAGACGAAGAGAAAGCAAAUGAACGAUGUCUCAUGGGGCUGUUUCCAAAUUGGAUUACUCGCUAUCAGCAUGGAAAGAAAGCAGAAACAGAGAAGGAGGCCCUUUUUAAACUCCGAGAAGAAGCUGGGAGAUUUGAUGAUAGAAUUUCCUACCGUACCGUUCCGGAGGAUAUAUGGCUCAAGUCUCACAAAGGCUACGAGGCCUUCGAAUCAAGACUUUCUACUUUGAAGGCCAUACAAAAUGCAUUGAUCGAUGUUGAUGUCAGCAUCAUUGGGGUGUACGGCAUGGGCGGCGUUGGAAAGACGACACUGGUGAAGAAGGUCGCCAGGCAAGCUAUGGAAGACAAGCUCUUUGAUAUGGUGGUCUUUUCAGAGGUUUCGCAAACUCCAGACAUAAAAAAGAUUCAACAGGAAAUUGCCGAGAAGUUGGGCCUGGAGUUGCACGAGGAAGUUGAAUCUAGAAGAGCUAGUAGGCUAUGUGAGCGAUUGAGAAAUGAGAAGAAGAUCCUUGUGAUUCUGGAUAACAUCUGGAAACACCUUGAUUUGGAGACCGUUGGAAUUCCUUUUGGAGAAGAUCAUAAAGGAUGCAAACUACUGCUGACGACAAGAGAUCGUAGUGUCCUCUUGAAAAUGGGAUCUGAAGACAACUUUUUGAUAAACAAUUUAAAUGAAGAAGAAGCCGGGAGAUUGUUUAAGAUGAUGGCCGGUGAUGAUGUUGAAAAUCGUGAGUUGAAAUCUACAGCAAUAGACGUCGCCAGGGCAUGUGGAGGUUUGCCCAUUGCCUUGACUACAGUAGCAAAGGCAUUGAGAGGCAAGAGUCUGCAUGAAUGGAAGAAUUCCUUGCGAGAACUCCGAACGCCUUCAAUGGUAAACUUCGAAGGAGUGUCUGCAGAGACUUAUUCAAGUAUUGAACUGAGUUUCAAGUAUUUAAAAGGUGGGCAACUCAAGGAACUUUUUCAGCUCUGCAGUCUAAUGGGUAACAGUAUCCCUACUUUGAAAUUGCUUAAAUACUCCAUAGGUUUGGGUAUAUUUCAAGGAGUCAAUAAGGUGGAAGAUGCACGAAACAAGUUAUAUGCGUUGGUACAUGAACUUAGAGACUCUUGUUUGUUGCUUGAGGGUGAUAGCAAUAAACUAAUUUCAAUGCAUGAUGUUGUUCGCGAUGUCGCCAGAUCAAUUGCAUGCCGAGACCAACAUGUAUUUGUGGUGGAAAACGAGGAUGUGUGGGAGUUGCCAGAUAAGGAAUCACUAAAAAAAUGCUAUGCAAUCUCUAUAAGAUAUUGUUGCAUUCAUGAGCUUCCCAAUGCAUUGGAAUGUCCACAACUUGAGUUCUUGUGCAUGUCUCCCGAAGAUUCUUCUCUUGAAGUGAGUAUUCCUGAAAAUUUUUUUGUAGGGAUGAGAAAGCUUAAAGUUGUAGAUUUUACUGGAAUGCAGUUAUUUUCAUUGCCUUCUUCAAUUGAUCUCUUAGUAAAACUUAAAACACUUUGUCUUGAUGAAAGCAUUUUGAGAGACAUCGACAUAGCCAUUAUUGGAAAGUUGGAAACUCUAGAAAUCCUCAGCUUCGUGCGGUCUGAUACGGUGCAAUUGCCCAAAGCACUAGGUCAACUGACUAAGCUAAGGCUGUUAGAUUUAACAGACUGUUUCCAUCUAAAAGUUAUUGCUCCAAAUGUCAUAUCAAGCUUAAUCCGAUUAGAAGAAUUGUAUAUGUGUAAUUGCUCCAUUGAAUGGGAGGUUGAAAGAGCCAACAGCAAAAGAAGUAAUGCUAGCCUUGACGAAUUGAUGCAUUUACGUUGGCUAACCACUCUAGAAAUUGAUGUUAAAAAUGAGAGUAUGUUACCAGCAGGCUUUUUGGCCAGAAAGCUCGAAAGGUUCAAAAUAUCUAUUGGAAAUGGGUUAUUCAUGCAUCCCAUGCUUUUUGGACAACAUUGGUUUAAAAGUCAGCUGCACUUUUUGAUCGACAGUAAUCGCAAGAUUUCAAGAGAAUUGGAGCUCAAGCUUGAUUUUAUGGACAUUUGCUCCAUGAAAUUGCAGGGCAUCAAUAACGUUGAAUACUUACGGUUGGACAAGCUGCAAGGCAUCGAGAAUGUUCUUUUCAAUUUGGACACGGAGGGCUUUUCACAAUUGAAGGUCCUCUGCGUCCAAAAUAAUCCUGACUUCUUUUGUAUCGUCGAUUCAAGGGAGAUGGUCGCUUGUGAUGCCUUUCCUCUUUUGGAGUCACUUGCCCUUCACAAUUUGAUCAACAUGGAGAGGAUAUGUGUUGAUCGGCUCAAAGUAGAGUCUUUCAACGAACUCAAAAAUAUAGAAGUAUAUAAUUGUGAUAAGUUGAGUAAUAUCUUUUGGCUCUCUACUUCAAAAUGCCUUCCAAGACUUGAGAGAAUUGCAGUUAUUAAUUGCAGCAAGAUGAAAGAGAUUUUUGCAAUUGGGGAAGAAGUUGAUAAUGCAAUUGAGAAGAUAGAGUUUGUUCAAUUAAGAUCUUUGAGUCUGGGGAAUCUUCCAGAGGUUACAAGUUUUUGCCGCCGUGAGGUGGAGACUCCUUCAGCAUCACCGAACAGACAAGUGUCGCAAGAGGAAUCGACGACUACGUAUUGCUCCAGCGAAAUCACUUUGGAUACUUCAACUCUGCUUUUCAACGAGAAGGUGCGUAGGCUAACAUUUUCUUUAUAUAUAUAUAAUUAAAUCAUUUAAAGAAUUGAAAGAAAAUGGAAAAAGGAUAAAAAGAAUCUCACGCGCUCACUAAUUGAGCUCUUAACAAGUAGUAUGAAUUAGAAUGCAUACUCAGCUGUCAGUUGGAAAUUGAUUCAGACUUGAUUAAUUUGUAAUCAAAGAAGAAAAUUUCAACAAGUGCUUCCCCUAUAGAUAUUGGAUCUAACGAGAAAUUCUUAUUUUUUUAGGUUGCGUUGCCUAACUUGGAGGCUUUGGAGAUAUCUGAAAUUAAUGUCGACAAGAUUUGGCACUACAAUCAAAUUCCGGCGGCCGUGUUUCCUCACUUUCAAAGUUUAACAAGAUUGAUUGUGUGGCGUUGUCACAAAUUAAAAUACAUAUUUUCAGCGUCUAUGAUCGGAAGCCUCAAGCAGCUCCAACACCUAGAUAUACGAGACUGUAAGGAUUUACAGGAGAUCAUUUCUGAAAACAGAGCAGAUCAAGUGAUCCCUUAUUUUGUCUUUCCACAGCUCACCACUCUGAGACUCCAAGAUCUACCAAAACUUAGAUGUUUGUACCCUGGAAUGCAUACUCCGGAAUGGCUUGCGCUUGAAAUGCUUUUUGUGUAUCGCUGUGACAAAUUAAAGAUAUUCGCUGCAGAUUUAUUGCAGAAAAAUGAGAAUGAUCAACUUGGUAUUCCUGUACAACAGCCCCCAUUGCCGUUGGAAAAGGUAUGAAGCCAUUUUCUAGAUUUUUUUUAUCAAUAACUUAUUUUUAACUUUGAAAAAUAUGACAAAGCAAUGAUAAAUUAAUACUCAAUAAAUUGAAAACUUUUAUUAUACAAUAAUCUUUGCUAGUCUAGACUAAGGGAUCAAUGUGGUAGAUUAAUAAUUAUAUGAACUUUUUUAGGUAUAGCAUUUAUAAAAGAAUCCUUAGUCUUUCCUAUAGAAGAACUUACAAAAUAAAUUAGUAAUUUAUUAUCGUGCAAUAAAAUAAUUUCUUUUUUUUCCCUAAUUUCUUUUUUACCUCUAAAAUUAAUAUAUAAAAAAUCAUUUAAUAAAAUUUAUCAAUAAUUCAAUUUGUUUUUGUAAAAUAUAAUAUAAAACAAAUAAUAUAAAGUCACUGCAUGUGAUUGGAUUACUCAAAAUCAUUUGAGAGAACACCAAUUGACCUUGUCAGUUAUUAUGAUUGAUGAUGAUCAGAUCUUACCCAACUUGACGGAACUAUCACUAAGCGGAAAAGACGCGAAGAUGAUUUUGCAGGCCGAUUUCCCACAACACCUUUUUGGCAGUCUUAAACGACUAGUGAUUGCUGAAGAUGACUCAGCUGGUUUUCCAAUCUGGAACGUACUUGAGAGAUUUCACAAUCUCGAAAUACUCACACUGUUUAAUUUUUCAUUCCACGAAGAGGUAUUUUCGAUGGAAGGAUGCUUAGAGAAACAUGUGGGGAAGUUGGCAACGAUAAAAGAAUUAGAGCUGUACCGGCACUAUCAUCUGAAGCAGCUGUGCAAACAAGACUCCAAACUUGGCCCCAUUUUUCAGUAUCUUGAAAUUCUAAAAGUAUAUCAUUGUCAAAGUCUGUUAAUUCUACUGCCAUCAUCAUCGGUAUCUUUUGGGAACCUAACAAAACUUGUAGCUAGCGGUUGCAAGGAAUUGAUGCACUUGGUAACAUCCUCCACAGCAAAAACUCUAGUGCGACUCGUAUCACUUGGUGUAUACGGAUGCAGAGCAAUGACAGAGGUGGUAAUAAAUGACAAAGACGGGGUUGAAAAAGAAGAGAUUGUUUUCCGCAAAUUGAAGACGUUGGAACUGUGUGAUUUAGACAGCCUCACAAGUUUCUGCUCUGCCAAUUACACCUUUGAAUUCCCAUCUUUGCAAGAGUUGGGGGUGAUUUGUUGUCCCAAGAUGAAGAUUUUCACUACAGGAGAAUCAAUCACGCCUCCGGGAGUAUACGUCUGGUAUGGAGAGACAGCGGAUCAACGGUGCUGGGCUAAUAAUGAUCUAAACGCAACCAUACAACAAUUACAUGCUGAGAAGGUACGGAUAUACAUAUUACUCUCUAUCUCCCAUGAUAAAUUUUUAUAAAAUUUGCUUUUUAAAAUACAAUAUAGAUAAGAUAUUUGUUUAAAGUAAAAGUUUAAAUUGAUGAAUAAGAAUUUUAUUUUCAGCUGUUGGCGGUGCCGUCGUCGUUCUCCACCCGGUACUAAUUUCAUAGGCUUCUUAUGACUUGGGAGUUGUGAAUUUUUAGAAGAAAGUCUCAACUGGUAAUUAAUUUUUAUUUCAUUUAUUUGAUCUCAUGGCUUCUUUCGCAAUUUCAUCUGAAUUAUUUAGAAUGGGUCACUCGAUUUACUGUUAAAUUUGGAAUGCCAUUUUAAUGAUUCGUUCAGACUUUUAUGGACAGAUUUUGCAUCAUUGAAUGUCUUUCAGUCUAGUUUAAUUUAAUUUUUUUUUUGGAGAGUUUCCCUUGUUUUCUAAAAUUGUAUAAUUCCUUGCAUACUUUUUAUGAUAAAAUUUCAUUAAAAACCUUCAUAUUUUAUAAUUCCAUGAAAUCGUGCGUACUUUUUUCCUAUCUUUCUUCGCCAAUUAUUUGUUUUCAUCAUUGCUGUUCUGUUAUUUUAGCUUGUGCUCUGUUUGUUCAUUUGGUUUGGUUUGCUUCACACCUAUCUUUCUUUGGAAACUUAGAAGGCAAAGGAAGUACUUAGAAAAUGCUCUUCCCUAUGAACACAUAAUUAAGAACAGCUGAAAAUCAUUCAUCGGAUAAAAAAAUUAAAAAUAAUUAAAAAUAAACAAAAUCUAAUCAGAGCAUUAUGCCUGGAACAAAUCCUUAAGCCAUCAAAGCAAAACUCUUCGCUAUGAAAAACUAUAUUGUGGAAAUAUUGUUUGAAAACGUUGGAUACCAAGAAAGGGACUAAUCUGGUCUAGUUUUAUGAGAAGUGCAGAAGAACAGUAUUUUCUCUGUUGUUCCUAUUAAAAUUCUUUACUCUGUUAUUGUAGAAUGUCUGGAUACUCAUGAAGAUUCAGGUAACUCUUCUUCUGUGCAUCAUUUGAAAUAAGGUCUUUUUUUUUUUUUUUUUUUUUUUUUUUUUUGGGAAUAUCUCCUACUGGGUUUAUAGCUCAUACAAAGAGAUAUUCUCAAAUGAAGCCGGAUACUGGUAGAAACAAGGGAGGAAGUUGGCGCUGAUAAAAUGGUUAAUCCUGUCCAGACUUAAUCAUCUGAAGCAACUCCAAACUGGACUCCAUUUUCAAUAUCUUGAAAUUCUAAGGCUAUAUUAAUGCUUGUAAAAAUCUUUUAAGUCUAUUCCCAUGAUCAUCUGUAACUUUUGGGAAUCUAACAGAACUGGUGGUUUUCCAUUGCAAAGAAUUGUAACAUCCAUCCACUACAGCAGAAAGUCGAGUGCGGCUCGUAUCAAUGAAGGUAACUGGAUGCAGGCCAAUGACAGAGGUGUUUGACAGAGGUGUUAAUAGGUGACGGAGAAGAAGAUGGAGCACCAAAUUUAAUUUCAAAACAAGAGAUUGUUUUCAGCAAAUUGAAGACGUCGAGUCUGUGUGAUUUAGAUAGUCUCACAAGUUUCUGCUUUGCAAAUUACGCUUUCAGAUAAAGAUUCUUGAAACUGUCCUAUUUAGAGCUGACAUUUCCACUAGAUUUAAGAGAAUAUAAAAAAUUCAUUAAUCGUUAGUUUUUAAUUUCAUUAUUCAAUGAAAGUCCUGUCAAAUUAAAUUGCCGCUAUUGAAUCUCUCGCUCCCCUUGCAAAUCUCUAUGUGCAAGUACCUAAAUUUACAAAUUUUACUUCAAAUUAAUGAAUGACAUAAUUUAUUUUCAGCAGUACGAUAUGUUCUGAUCCCAUAGGCUUUUUAAUUUAUUACAUGGUGUUGUCAAAUUUGAAGAACAAGGUCCGAGGUAACAAUCGUUUUCAUUUCAUUUUGUUUGAUCUCUAAGUUUAUUUCAUCGUUUCAUCUAAAUUAUUUGCAAUGCGUCGGUUGGUUUCUUGUUAAUUUUGGAACAAAGUUGAUGCAACCAAUGGUUGCAUAUGAUGAGUAGGAUAUCGCUCUGAGAUCAUAACUUGAGUUAUAGAUAUCUAUCUAGGGCGUAUAAUAUAUCAUUAAUCUAUUACUAUAACAUUGUAUUGGUCUCGUGGUCCAGCUAGAAAUUCUAUUUGUUUCAUAGUUAUUUUACAAGUUUAAGAUAUUUUCUUAUUUUUCUUAUUAUUUUCAAGAUUUUUAUUUUUUUUCUACAAAUAUAAGAUUUAAGUACGAUUUAUUUUAUUUUUAUUAGAAGAAUGUUAUUAUAUAAUAAUAUUUUAGGUUUGCUUAUUUUGGUAAAUUCGUAAUAUUUAGAAUUAGUAUAAAGAGGGUCCAAAAUCCAAAUUUUGUUAUUCAGACCUAUCUAUUAAUAAAAUUUCAGACUUUUCAAAAACUUGUGUUUCUCUAUAUUUUCAAUCUCAACGUCCAAUUUUCCGUCAUCAUAAAUUCUAAUGCCUGGUUCCAUCAGGUCUCUCUUCUGUGAAGCCCCUGGAGUAAAAGCUCCGAAUGUGUUACCAUUGAAAUCAUGGCAGAAAACUUUAGUACUUAAUUAAGGCUCUUGAAUAAGACUCUUUAUGGCUUCAAUAUUUUACUUGAUAUGAAAAUUUCUUUCUAGAUAGAAUCAUUGUGAAGAUAAAUUGUGGUAUUACUGACAAUGAAUAAGUUGAAACAUCAACAGAGAUAAAUAUUGAGCAAUUAAUGUUACCAGCAAUCAAUUUGUGAGCACCAACAACCAUUUUCAUAUUUAAGCCGUUAGAACAGUAACACAAAAUAUGGCGAGUGGCAACCACACAAAUAAUCAAAUUCCUGAUAGAUUUUGAAAACUUUAAUUUGCUAGAUAUGUAUUUUAAUAUUUCAACAGGUGCAUCUUUUCUCUACUCAUGUGGCACGUUGAAUCAGAAACGGUUUGAAUGUCAAUAUUACUCCAAGUGCCUCAACCAAAUUCAGAAUGAAGAAAAUCAUCUGGUUACCUGCACUUUAGUUUAAGCAGCUGAUUAAGUUAAUUAGCACCAAGUAAUUCACAUACUAGUGAGAAAUUUCAUUAGUAAAUUCAUACCUGGGAGGAAACCAGCAUCUUGACGCUUUUGUGACCAAGAAAAUCUGCCAGAACCCCAAUUAAUGAAAAAAAAUUAUAACAUCAUUUACAUAUAAUUUUACAAAAUCAAUAGGACACUUACAGAGCACCUCCUACAGCUGGACCGGCAGUUUUGGUAAGCGACACCACAGUCAUAGCAAGUCCAUUAUGGUAUAAUGCUGUUCCUGUUAUUAUACCAUAAACCAAAAAAAUAAUUUAAACUUUUGACACAUACAAAGCAUGAAAAAGCUGAAAGCAUGGAAAUGUACUAAACAAACAAAAGAAAAUAUAUUUACCACUGCUCUGUUUUGCAGAAGGAACAAUCCAGUAAUUAUAGACACCUGAUGUUAUAAUUCAGGAAAAGUGAAAGAGAAUUACAACAUUUCUGAUAAAGAAGAUAUAAAAUAACUUUUAUACAUUCUUGCUAAUGGGUAAUAUAACCUAAGUAUAUGGAUCAAUGAUUAGGAUAUCCACUUACAGAUAAAACAUUCUUCAUCACAGAAGCACAGUUUAUCAAUAAGGCAAGGCUGAACCCAGAUAACAUUGCUAUGUAAGUGUAACUUGUCAAAAGCGGUAUCGAUAAAACCUGUAUAUACAUAGAAAAUUACGUCACCAAAUCCAUGAAGAAAAGUAUUUUAUAAACAAAUAUGUUUGAAACAAACUAUCAAAUGAUCUAAAUGCCACAUGGUUUGUUCAAAAUUUUACCCCUGCAAUGCGUGUUAUUAUUAUUGGCCCGAUCAUCCUCUCAACGUAAGGGUAUAGAGUAAGUUGAAAAACAAGGAGGCUGAAUCCUGCAGUAAGUUCAAAAUGAGGAGUUGAGGACAAUCAAUAAGCAGUUUUGUGGGGUUGAUGCAUGAGAAAAGAAGUUAAGAGGAACGAGUAACAUUUUCAGUUUCGUAAUAAGUAUAAAUGGGCAGCAAGAGUAUUGGUUUUGCACCUGAGAUGGCAAGAACUUGGCCAGCAUUUUCGGUUGAGUAACUCAGACCCCCGUACUUCCACGGGCUGAUAGCCCACAAUGAAAAUAUCUAACAGAAUAGUUGCAAUAUUAUGAUUUAAAAAAAUUACAUAGAUAAGAAAUUCUUAGGAUCAGUAAUAGCCAUAUGUCUUCUUUAUGUAUAAAACUCAAAACAAUCCCAUCAAUAGCAAUAGCACCCUCUGUUUCAGGUAGAAGUUAAGAGAUAACUUUGCAAAUAUCUAACAGAAAGCGAUCUGAUCCAGGAUCCUGGACUUUAUUCAAGUUCGGGAAAGCCAUUGGUCAUUGGACUAUUAAACCAUGUGGCUUAAUAACUGGUUGAGCAGAUCAUCUCGACCAGGAUAUUAUAGUUCACAUCGACCAGAAUAAUAUGUGGUGACCUCGAGCAGAUCACCUCGACCAGGAUAUUAUUGGUCAUCUCGACCAGGAUGUUAUUGGUCACCUCGAGCAGAUCACCUCGACCAGAAUAAUAUGUAGUGACCUCGAGCAGAUCACCUCGACCAGGAUAUUAUUGAUCACCUCGACCAGGAUAAUAUGUGAUGACCUCGACCAGAAUAAUAUGUGGUGACCUCGAGCACAUCACCUCGACCAGGAUGUUAUUGGUCACCUCGACUAGGAAGUUACCAGAAAACACGAUUCAGUCAAAACAUUUUCUCCGAAAUAUUAGGGACCAUAUUCUUAGUGGGCUGAAAAUUAGUAGUUUUCUUGAGAAUCCUAUGGGAGAGGAUAAAAACCGCUAUAUUUUCAUAUAAAAACCCUAAGGGGGGAUUCUUCUAGCUCUCUCUCUCUCUCUCUCUCUCUCUCUCUAAGCAACUGAACCCAUUGGACCUUUUUCUCCCUCUACCACUGAGAAAUUUCUCUUUCGCCUGUGAUUUCUUUAAGAUUGAUUAUUGUGAAUUUUUUUCCUUUAAAUUUACUUAAAAGCUUUUUGUUUAAAGCAAUCAUAAUUAAGCCACAUGAAUUGUGGUAUGGGUUUUUCCAAGUAAGACCCGAAUCGCUGACUUGAGCGUCGGAGAGUUCUCGCCGGAAAAACUUCCGGCACCUCCUGACUGUUGGUUGUGUUCACAGGCUCACAGGUUAUCUGCUCAUGGAUUGUCUGCUCAUGGGUUCUCUGCUCAUGGAUCGUCUGCUCACGGGUUAUCUGCUCAUGGAUUGUCUGCUCAUGAGUUCUCUGCUCAUGGAUCGUCUGCUCAUGGAUUGUCUGCUCAUGGAUCGUCUGCUCAUGGGUUGUUUGCUCAUGGGUUCUCUGCUCAUGGGUUGUCUGCUCAUGGGUUGUCUGCUCAUGGAUCGUCUGCUCAUGGGUUGUCUGCUCAUGGGUUCUCUGCUCAUGGAUCGUCUGCUCAUGGGUUGUUUGCUCACAGAACAUCUGCUCAUAGAAAAUCUGCUCAUGGUGCUAACUAAUCAUCAGCUUCCCACCAAACAAAUUUAAUGCUGAUGCAGGGAUCUGAGAUUUGACCAACUCAUCCAGAUUUCGGCAUCAACAAUAACUUUCCCGAACAUUAAAAUAGUUUAGAUUUUGGAUUGGAACAUUUUUAUGUCAUAAUAAAGUAGAAUAUAUAUAUAUAUAUAUAUAUAUAUAUAUAUAUAUAUAUAAACAAUCAAACUCAGGUAGAGAUGUUUAUACCUCGGUGUAAGCGAUAUCAUGAAGCGAGAAAACACAAUAAACAAUAGUAGAAGAAAUAAAGGGCCAAUUCUUCAUGAGGCUUUUCUUAGCAGUGGCCUCCUCACUUCCUUCAUCUUGUUUAAAUUCUGCAUUGGACCCACAGGCGGAUUCCAAAGCAUCACAUGAUACAUCAAGUGAUACACCAUCUUCAUUGUGUUUGUGCAAUGUCUCCUGCAUCAAAAAGCAUGUGAUGGUGUCAAUGUAGUCAUUAUAAGAGAAGCGAAAGUUAUAUUUUAUAGUCUCACCCAUAAGAAAAUUUGAAGUUAUGGGAGAGUUGCUAUUACAUGUACAAUUCAGCCUGAAAAGAGAGCUAAAGGCUACGUACCGGAAUCCAGCAAGAAGCAAUAGUUACCGCAAAAGCAAAGAGUGACAUACAGAGACAGGGAAGGAAGUAAGGAAACCUGCAUAAAUUUGUUUUUCAAAAUACCAUCAUAUUGAAAGUAUUACAGAAAAAGAUAAGGCUAAUGGCAGUAAAAAUUCACUUACUUUCCAAACAUAGAUUCUUUGGAAAAUGCCUUUGGAUAUUUCUCUGCUGGCUGGAUUGCAAAAUUAUCCACGAAUAUAUAUAAGAAUAAUAUUUAUCAAGCCAAACUACUAAAAAUUCAAAAAAAAAAAAAAAGCGCAUAAUAAUCAAGUAAAAAUUGCCGAACCUGGGCCAAAAAGCCACCCACUGCAGGGCCAAUAAUCAACCCUGUGCCCCAUGCUGUACUGAGCUGAAAUUAUAUCGUAGUUCUCAAGGUAAAUGAUGCUAUAAAAUUUUCUCAAGAACUUUGCAAUCAUACACGAACUGAUAAGCUCACCGUUGACAGUCCUAAAGUUUUGUGUUGAUCGCGCAAUAUUUCACAUGCAUAUGCCUGGUGGUGCAAGAGAAGUUUGAGUACAAAUAUUUACAGGAGUUAAAUUGGAAUUAUCAACAAAUACCCCCAAUCAAUACCUUAAUUGGUCCAAGUAAACCAUUCAAAGCCCCAAGGAGAAACCUUGUAGCUAUGGCCAUCCAGAAACUAACACUAAGCCCAAAGAGAGUGUUAAAAAUAACCCUGUGAGCAUUUUAAGACAAAUAAGAAACCCAGAAAUUGCCAAAAUAUCAUCAAUUUCAAGCUUGAUCAUUUGAAAAUAGAGGUCACUAACACUGUGAUGCAUCCUAUUAUUAUUACAGGCUUUCGACCACAGCGGUCAGCCACCAUUCCCCACAAAACAGAUGUUAGAGCUCUGCCAAGCAUGUAUGAAGACCAUUCAAUUUCAUCAUGGUAUUAAGAGGUUUGUCAGAUGCAUCCUAUUAUUACUUCUCGAGGAAUUUGAACUGUUAUAUUGGUCGUACAUACAUACAUACAUGCAUACAUACAUAUACACAUACUGAAUAUUGUCUAAGUGGUUUAUUUACAGGUAUUCAAAAUAUAAAUUAUUGCUAUGAUUUUAGAAAAUAUUGUCUUUUUUUUGUAAUUUAUAUUAAAAUUUUGCGACAAUUGUUUGGCUGGAAUUUUUUUUUUUAUAAGAAAAAUAGUGAUCUCACACUGAUCCAUAGUUGAGCCAAUUACCUAGUUAAAAGCUACCUCCAUAUUUUUUAUUUUUUACCCUAAUGCAUGUCUGAUUCUUUUAAAAUUUUACGUUAUAUAUAUUAAACAAAAAUUAUAAUUUUAAUCAUUGAAAAAUUAAUGACAGACAUCUUUUGAAUAAUAUUUUUUUAAAAAAAUACAGAGCUAGAGAUAAUGCUAUAAUUGAUUGAAUAAGAAGGCUACAACUUGAUGAUAACUUUAUUGCAAUGUUGCGUGAUCUCAAUAUAUUAUUGGCUUUUGUGUGAGUAAAAGUUGCUGGCUCGUGUUUUACUAAUUUGGGUUUGUAUUUGACUGGCUCGACAAAGAAUCGAUUUACCUCAUACUCAAAUUACAAACAUCGAAACCGGAUCUGUCAUUACGUUAAUUGGCCUCCUAAAAUAAUCAAUCACUUUCUCUUUAGUCUACUAUCCACUCUUUCCAGUCGCUUAGUUUCAUUCUAAUCAUCUAAACGGCUCUUUGGUACUGUUUCUUCUAUUCGUCAUUGUUCUUGUUCUGUUAUUAUUUAGCUUUGUUCACUCCUCAGUCUCAUUUCUAAUUCUGUACCCAUCAGCUCUUUUAGCUCUUUACGUCGUGAUAGAAACCCUUUUCUUGUUUCCUUCAUCUCAUCUGAAAAACACAAUUGCUUGUCCUAUCGCUGUCUCUUUGUUUUUACUUUCCUUUGGCCUUCUUCGCUUCUACGUUUUUGUCAGGCUUCGAGAUGCUGGAAAUCAUUGUGACUAUCGUCUUGGAACUUGUAAAAUGCUUGGCUCCUCCAACUGCACGCCAACUUGUUUAUUUGCGAAAGCGGAACUACAAUGCCAACUUUGAGAAUAUCAAGGCGGAAAUGGAGAAGUUGAAGGUUGAACGUACGAGCAUUCAGCGCAGGGUUUCAGAGGCGAAAGAAAAAGGGGAAGAGAUUGAAGAGAAGGUUGAAAAGUGGCUGGUUAGUGCGAAGUACGAACGGCAUCAUUGACCGGGCAGCCAAAUUCAUUGAAGAUGAGGAGUCAACGAAUAAGCGCUGUGUCAAGGGCUUGAGUCCUAUUUGGAAGAGUCGCUAUCAGCUUAGCAAGAAAGCAGAGACGGAGGUGAAGGCCAUUAUUGAACUUGGAGAAGAAGUUAAGAAGUUUGAUACUGUUUCCCACGGUACCAUUCGGGAGCAGAUAUGGCUUAACUCUAGCAAUGGUUACGAGGCCUUCGAAUCAAGACUUUCUACUUUGCAAUCUAUAAAAAAUGCAUUGACUGAGGCGAAUGUCAGCAUUAUUGGGGUGUACGGCAUCGGCGGCAUUGGAAAGACCACACUGGUGAAGGAGUUUGCUAGGCAAGCCAGGGAAAAGAAGUUGUUUUAUCGGGUGGUUUUAUCAGAGGUUUCAUAAACUCCAGAGAUAAAAAAAGAUUCAAGGGGAAAUUACAGAGAACUUAGGUCUGGAGUUGUCCGAUGAAGCUGAAUAUAGAAGAGCUAGCAAGCUGAAUGAACGAUUGAAGAGUGAGAAUAAGAUUCUUGUGAUUCUAGAUAAUAUCUGGAAACAUCUUGAUUUGGAGACCGUUGGAAUUCCUUUUGGAAAUAAUCAUAAAGGAUGUAGACUUUGAUAGACAACCAAGGAGAUCAGCUAGAGUUUCAAAGCCAAGCAGCAAGCUUGUGGACUUUGUUUGACCAUGCAAACCAUGCCCAUGCAAGCCAUGCAAUUGAUCUCCCACAUAACACUUUCAUGCGAGUUAGUUGGAAUAAGAGCACGUGAGGAAUUGAUAUUGAAGUAAAAGUGAUGGUUGUCGAAGCCAGUAAAAAUAAAUACCUACUCUAAAUAAAUUAUGUAUAGUGAUUGAGUAAGGUCGUGUCCACAGAGAUCGGUAAUUAUUUAAAUUCUUUUAAAAAGUAAAUUGCAAAAUGGGGGGAUUGUUGACAAUAAUAAAAAUCAAAUUAAAAUAACAAGAAUGCAAAUUAAAAUUUUAAUUCAAAUUGGGAAAAGCUCUGGUUGAAGGAAUUAACUCAGCUUGAUUUGAUUACUGAUCAUUGAUUCAAUUAUAAAUCACUACUACUUAUGAAUAGAUCGGUUAUAGCUACUGAGACCCUCUAAUAGUCAAUCUCUCCUUAACUAAUCGAUAACCAAAGUACGACCGUUGGUUAUUUCCCUAAUCAAUAGACAACCUAGAUACGAUCAUAGGAUUUAAUCAAUUGACAGCCUGAAAAUCCAGAGAGACCCAAAUCCUAAUAAAUAAACGCAUACAAUGGUUCAUUUAAAUUAGAUUGUUUAUUCUCAUAACACAAUGCACUGCUAUGCUAUUUGUCACAAACAUUAAAAUCUUCAUACGAUAAAUCAUUUAAUUGACAACAUAUUAAGUUGAUAAUUAAAUAGUGGUCAAUUAUCUAAUUAACAAACAUAAUCAUGACAAUAAUUCAGAGAAUAAACAAAUACCCAAAAAAUAAUAAAAUAAUUAAAGCAUAAGAAAGAUCUCACAGUAGUGAUGAAUCAAACCUUCAUUAACCUUCAACCAGAAUAAUAGGUUUAGUUCCUCAUAGAGAAAAGAGAAAAAUUUAGAUCUAGGGUUUUUCUCUUUUCAAAAAUCUCUCCUUUUCACAAUACAUUCCUCCCUUAAAUUCUCUUCUCCCUCUUCUCCUCUAAAGUUCUUUUUACAAUAAAAUACUGAUAUCUAAAAUAUUAUCUAAAUAUUAAAUUCAUAAUUACAAAAAUAACCAAAAAUAUAAAAUACGUUAAACUAAAAACUGUAGGUCCGCAGUUGACAGCAUGUGCCCACACCUUAUCAACACAGUUUUUCUGAAGCUCAUAAUUUCUCCAAGAAAUCAAUGAUCCUCAAAUAUCAUCUUGUAGCUCAAUUUUAGCACCAAUCAAUAGAAUUGCACCUACAAAAAUAAAACACAAGUAAAUCACUAUUAUUAAGUGCAAAACAUCGAUAUUAAAGGAAGUAAAUAAUGCAAAACUAGUGCAUAAAUUGUACUCUAACAAAAAGACUACAUCAAAGUUGUUGCCAAGAAUCAAGUUAAUUUAUUUUCUGCUUUGUUUUUAUCUAGUUGUUAAUAUUGAUUUGAUUUGGCUGGAUUUGAGCCAAGGUUUUAGGCUACAAAUCAGUAGUAUACUUUAUGUUUAUCUGUAUAAAUAAGCAGCAACCAUGACGAUUGAAAGGAAGGAAAUUAGUCAAAACAAAUACUGGUUGUUCAUACCAUAAAUUGAACGAAUAUCAGGCACUGCUUUUCUGUAUUUGAUCGGGACCUAUCAGACUAUUGCUGACAGCAAGAGAUAAUAAUGUGCUUUUAAGUAUGGGCUCCAAAGAUAACUUUUUGAUUGGCAAUCUAACUGAACAAGAAGCCUGGCGAUUGUUUAAGAUAAUGAAUGGUGAUGAUGUUGAAAGUUGUAAGUUCAAGUCUACAGCAAUUAAUGUGGCUAAGGCAUGUGGAGGUUUGCCCAUGCGUUGACUACUGUAGCGAGGGCACUGAGAAACAAGAGUCUCCAUGAAUGGAAGAAUGCCUUGCGAGAGCCUUCAAUGGUAAACUUCGAAGGGGUGCCUGCAGAGACUUAUUCAAGUAUUGAGCUGAGUUUCAAUUAUUUAAAAGGUGAGCAAGUCAAGAAAAUUUUUCUGCUUUGUCGUCUAGUAGGUAACAGUGUUUGGUUUUCAGACUUAUUUAGAUACUCCAUGGGUUUGGGCAUAUUUCAAGGAGUCAACAUUCCCUUCCUAUUUACCAAAGGUAAGUGAUAAAUCCUACAUAUCCCACUCAAGAAUGCAUAAGUUUCUUCAAUCUCAAGUACCUAAAGUUUUCUUCUACGUUUAUAAAAAUUUCAGCACCAUCUCCCUAUAAUUCUCCAAGCUCACGACGUAGCUAUAUAAGUGUUUAUGCGUUAUGCCAAAACAACACAUGACACCCAUUCACCUAGUACGUACCCAGAGAACACGAGGAGCAGCUACCGAAAAACCCAUUUUUACGUGGGAAAAAAACUUCAGCUACUAGCUACCAGAGAGAACUAUGCAUUCCCAAACUGUCCAAGCCUGGACAAUUCAAGAAUUAUUAAUAGACAUAUGAUCCUCACUAUCAUCCAAAGAUGACACUAAUAAAACAUGUGUCUAUUAAUAAUUUCUUAAACAAGUCUAAGCUUUCAAUGCACGUAUCAAAAGUUUAAAAUUGAAUCUGAAAUUUGAAUAACACAUAAAUAUCAUAAAUCUCUUCAAUUUAUUCCUGAUACAAUGUAGCAUUAUUUCACAUAUCAUUUCUUAAGCAAAACCAUAAAAAAUACAAACGAUAAAUACAUUUUCGCACUGAUGCAGAUUAUGUUUACUGAGCAAUAAGUUUUAAGUCAUUCAUGUUGAAAUACUUCUUCCUAUUCUUUCAACAUAUAACUAGUACGUACACACAAUUAAUAAAUUAAAAAAAAACCUGGUAGUGAAUCUUGGAAAAUCUUCCUUCUUUCUUUUUUUUUUGGUGGGAGGGGGGGGGGGGGGGGGGUGGUGGUUGGGGGAACUAUGAAUCUUGCAAAUCCUCGGGAAGCCAUGUUAAGACAAGGCCAGCUUACUAUUAGGGUAUGAAAGAUAAAACCUUUUAUUUCCUUUUCAGAAUAAAAAGAAUAUUGACAAUGUUAAAAAACAUCUAGAGGAUUUCAGGUCUCCAGAUCCUUACAAAUCAAGGAUAUUAAAAAAAUUUACUUAGAGGAGAAAGGUUAUGCUCAUUUGUAUCUUGUUAGAAGAAAUUGAUCCAAAGCCUCAUUUUUAAUUAGCUUCAUAUAGCCAAUGAUUAGGUGUUUAAAAACCAAUGAAUAUUUUUAUAAGAAAUCAACAAUAUUGUUGAAAGAAAAACCAAAUAAAAUUAAUAAAGCCAAUGAAUAGAUCAAGGCUCUUUGUGGUCUAAUAACUAAUCAAACUAAGUUGUGGGCAAAGGCGAAUAUGUUUGUUUGGUCAAUAAUAAGCUCAACAAAUCACUAAUAAUCACCUAAUCACUAUUCCUUAUGCUAUGCAAUAUAAUGGCCUGGGUAAUGGCGCCAAGGCAGACAAUAACUAGCUAGCCAGUUAUGAUAGUUGAUUAACUUAACCUACUGGAAAUCUGAAGACCAAAACGAAGAAGCUUUGCCUAGAACUACAAUAGGAACAUUCAUACCCAAAACUAAUAUACACGAUUAAGAAACUUGAUUAUAUGUAUAUUUUUGUUGGCCACACUUAAAGAGAAUUUUCAAAAGAUGCUAAGGUACACCAAAUCCCACUAUUUCAAACUCAUAAACACAAAAAACCAUGGCAAAAAUUAAUGACUAUAUAAAAUAAAAUCGGUCAUGGGGCAUUGAGAUUAGGACAACUUGAUUUGUAUACCGUAAAAUAACUAUAUCUGCAUAGUGAACUAUAUUUCUGUUAGAACUCUGAAGUUUUCUAUUAAACUUUUUUCUCUGUUAGGUAAACCACUUAACUAAAAUGCUUAAGCCAAUAUUGACAAUCAUAGACAUAAAAGUAUUAAUAGGCUCACUCAAGUGAAAUGAGCAUUAUUUCACACAUCCUUUAGGUUUUUAAGUCAUUUAGAAGUCAUUCAUGUUAAAAAAAAAAAACAAAUUCAUAUACUUUCAAUAUAAUUACUGCAUACACAAUUAACUAAUUAAAUAAAUCUGUUUCAGCUAGUAUAGGAACUUAAUUAAUCAAAGCUAGUAGUUAUAGCUAGGACUUGAACGAGGCACCUUUCAAAGUUCAAGAAGAGCAUCUGAACAGAAUGAAAGCACUUUGUAGAAAUGGUAAUGAUGCUUUACAUCUACAUGCUCUUACACAAUAUGAACUUUCAUUGAUUCAAGAACAUAACACUAAUCCAAGCUCUUACUCUACAAGUCAAUUCAGUUUGUAGAUGCAAGCCAUUGUAAAAACUUUUGACAUUACUAAUUAAUAUAGAAUCAGCAAUGUUAUAUAACUUAUUAGACAAUAUAACAAGCACUUGGCGAGCAUAUAAGAUAAACUAAAACAAGUUAAUUAGAAAAUGAAACUAAAACCCAAGCUCCGCUAUUCAUUGUAGAAGCUUUAAACAUAAAAUUAAAGUAAAUCUAAUGGCAAAACAUUAGAAUCGAUGUUGGAAUUAAAGCUAAAUUCAAUAGUAAUCCAAAUGAAUCCAUUUGAACUUUGUAAACUCCGCAGAACAAAAUUAAUUUGAGUGAGCAAACUCAUCAAUGGCACAAGAAAACAGGGGCUUCAACUUGUAGGAAUAAAAAUAUAUUGCUGGCGGGACAAAAAUUGACAAUAACGGCUACAAUGCGAAUUAAAAAAAAAUCAAAAUCUAUAAUUACAAGCUAAGUAAGAGAAGAAACUCAUAAUCACAAGCUUACCUCAAAAGAUGAAGGGAGAAGACGAUGAAGAAGAAGAUGGCCCGUGUUUUACGCAGUUCGCCGGCAACCAGUUAGGCUUACGAUGGUGGCUAGUAACACGGAGUCCAGCGAAUAGUUUUAAAUUUAAAAUUCUAAAAUAGUAAUAUACCGAACGGCUCUUUACGCGGGUAGUAACUAACAUAUGUGAUAGCGGUAUGGCCGUCACAUAAAGGGUAACAAAAGCAAGUCGGGGUACAAAGCUAGAGCCUAGAAGUUAGUGAUAUACGUAAUGGCUUCUUUUGCAUUCACAUUAGGGGUCACAUAUACCCUAGUUUCUUGUAGUACAUGGUAAACUAUAUUUGUACGAAUUCAUUUUUGUGUGCUUGUUGGAUAAUAAUAUAUAAUAAAUUAAAAUUUGGUGUAAUUUUCACAAUAUUGUAUUAUAAAUAUGUCUCGUUCAGAGGUUUUGAAAUCGUUUUGAUUGAUCAUAAUUGAUAUUUCCACAGUUGCAAAAGAUGCCAAAGAAAAUUUGAUUAUCUUAAGAAAUGAGUGCAUGAGAUAUGAAAUCAACCAUACCAUAAAAUCAAAUUUUAUCGUGUCAUCCUUCCUGGUUCAAAUUUAUGGAAACAAUAAUCAAAUGCAUCCAUGAACUAGUAUAUUCCGACAUAUGUACCAUCAAAUUUUUGCUAUGUCAUACUUAUACACACACACAUAUAUAUAUAUAUUGAAAUUUUAUUAACAACAAUUGGGCCAAGCAUAUGUUGGUACUUGAAGAUUUAGAAGCUCCAUCCUUGAAAAAAUAAGGCUUGACUGUUAUCAAUCUAAUUCUUUUUGUUUUAAGUUCUUAAUUAAGCUUUCUUGCUUGUUUUCAAGAGCCAGUUUUGUAGUGAUCGACAAACAUGAUUUGCAUAUAAUGCACUUGGCAUUUAUGUGUCACUUAUUAAUUAGAUUUAAAUUCUAUACAUUAGUUAAGCUGAUUAAUACUUUAUACUUGCACUAAAUGAUAAAUACUACAUAAAUUGAGAACACUAGUAACUAUGUAUCCCAACUAUGUAAUAUUUGUUUGUCACAAACCCAAUCAUGGCCUAAUAUUCUAAAUGUUAUUUAGGAUACCAUUUCAAGCCCCAUGAGGGCUCUUUCCGUUUAAAAAAAACAAGUAAGAAAUAGAUGUAGAUAGCCAUAAUGAUUUAAUUUCUACUGCAUACAUAGCUGUAAUUAUUUUAAAAGCUACAGGAUUACCAAAUUGACCCUAAAUCAAACCAAUAAAAAUGUUUAAAAGUAAUAAUAAUAAACCAAAGUAAACGUACAAAAAUUCAUGCAUAAAUUGAUAAUCAAUAAAAACAUUCAAAAGUUUAACUCCAACUUUUCUAUAAAUUUCAAAAGGCAUUAUCAAUUUUGUGUCUAAUUCUACAAAAUUAGAAAACUAAAGAAUAUUAUGUAAUUGACAUAACCCUUAAAUUUCAAAAGGCAUUAUCAAUUUUGUGUCUAAUUCUACAAAAUUAGAAAACUAAAGAAUAUUAUAUACUGAUAAUUAAAUAAUAUGCAAUUAAUAAUGUUAAAAAAAUAAUUUUAAACAUAUUGUCAACUAAAAUAAAUGGGAGAAUUGGAGUUCCAAGAUAAAUUCUUAUCUAGUUCCAAAUCAACAAUUGGGAUUAAUUUCAAUAUUAAACCCCGACUGCUUUUAAAAUUGAUCCUAAUGAUAUGGACAAAUCCCAUUCUGAUCAGUAUGGAAUCCCAAUCCCAUACCUUUAGAUUUCGAUGGUGUUUAGUUGGAGGGAGGAGAGGGGAAGGAAAUGAAUUCAAAUUCCUUUCACUUUUUCUGUUGUUUGGUUUUCACUAAUAUAUGGGAAAUCCAUUUCUAUUGAAAUUUAAUUUUCAUCAAAUUGUGAAUUUUGGAUUCCUCAACGAAGGCUGUAAAAUUCAAAUUCCCCUCCUAUUAGAAAUCAAAUCUUCCAAAAUGGCUCCUCUCAAAUAUUUAUCAAUUAUUUUAAUUCUUAUCAAAUAAUUCUUAUUCAUGAUUUUAUUUAUGAUUUUAUUUUUUAAAUUCAAAUUGUCACUAAGGAGUCUGACUUACUACCACAGAAAAGCAAAAAAAAAAAAAAAAACAGUUUAUAGAUUAUGAUAAUUCUAUAUAUUGUCUGAGAAUUGCAAUCCCGUAGCCGAAGUAGUUUUUAAGUACAGAAUUUCAGUCAUUUCUAUUUAAUUUUUUUUUUAAAUGUGAAUUGGAGGGAUCAAGAGCAGCUCACUGGAGGUUGAGGCCGACAUGGAAUCUGAUUAUCAGGAGAUCCGAGUGCAGGGAGGAUUCAAUAGUGAACCCGAAUGAAAUCGGGCGGGUGGGCCUGCCUAUGUGUUUUUCCAAUCCAUAUUAAAAGGAGUUUCUUUUACAAAUACAUAUUGGACAUAUUUUGACAUGUCGUACUAAAUUAAGCCAUCAAAAAUUGCUGGGAAGGGAGUAAUAUCUAUUUAUAACUGGAAAUUACUCACCGUACAAUGAUGGUUGGAGCUGCAUGUAUCAUUUAUUAUUAACAACUAACUUAUGAAAUGCUUUGAAUGUACCUCCUAGGUCGUAUUUACUAUACCGGUUAGGAGAAACUAUAAUAUUAAAUUAUUUGAUAAAUACUUAUUAUAAUUUAAAAAAUAUAUUAAUUUUGUCCUCCACUUUAUGAUAACAAAAUUAUAAUAUAAAUAAAUUAUUCAUUCUAUAAUCUUAAACUUUAUUAAAAUUCGAAAAACUAUUACUCUAUAUGAUAUAAUAGUGUGAUGUUAUUACACUAUUAUACCAUAUAAAAUAUAUUUGCUUUCUUAAAUUUUAAUAAAUUCUAGGUCUUGGACAGAAGCACUUUAUAUAUAUGUAUAUAUAAUAAUUCUCUAGUAACGACAUUCUCAUUUUAACAAAGUGAUGAUAUCGCUAACAAACUAAAUAACACACAUUUCAAUACACCAAUAGAUUAAAAAAAUACAAUUUUUAAUGUGUUAAAAUAUAUGUCUUUUGUAUAUUAUUGAUAUUUUCACUUUAACAAUGUGAGGGUCUCCUCACUAUAGAAGUACUUUAUAAAUAUUUUGUAUUUUUUUAAAAAAUUAUUAUUUAAAAGUCAUAUCUGACCAAGACUAAUAAUUUUUAUUUUAUUACUAUACUGUACUUUCAAGACAGAACACUUCAAUACCAUGACCUUAAUUUUUCAACUCUCUUGUACAAAGUUGUUGGCUGGUCUAUUUAGUUUAGUCUUUCAAUCAUUUGUCGUUUGAACUGAGAUGAUCCGAAUAAAGCUAUAUAUCAAUAAUUUCCUAGUGAAACUUUGGGAAAAAAUAAAAAUCAUGUCAUACAGUAGCAUUAUUUUAAUUCACAGCUUGAUUAUGUUUUGAGUUAACUUAUAGAUUAUUUGAAAUAAAAAGACUAUAAUUUAAUUUUUCCAACUAAAUAUUUUUAAAUAAUUUUGUUAAUUUAAUGAGUAAUUAUACACUUACAAAGUUACGAUAUAAAAUUAUAUCCCAGAAUCUCAAUAAUAUGACACCAAUUAACUACUGCUAUGUGUUUCUUAGUAAUUAACUUUUUAUACUAUUAUCAAUGAGAAAAUUAACUUCAACACCAAUAAACAAAUUUUAUAUUAAUACAUCCUCUAGGUUUAUUAUCAAAUAAUCAUGUCAUAAUCAAACCAAGCUACCAGAGCCUACUACUAAAAGAUUGAUUAAAGGGUUUUCCAAGUUUGAAAAAGUUAGUAGCAUUGGCAAAUGGCAACUCCCAGGAAUCUUCCUACUACAAUCAACCAUUCAGUGAAAUUCCCAAAUGGCACAAAGGACCCCGCCACCCGUUAAGUCACAUCAUUUAUUUAUUUGUGAAUGAAAAAUAAGGUUUCGAUCGUAAGAAAUGAACACCUUAUAAUGCAUGAUUACCUGUAUGUCAAGUUUGGCGAUUAUAAGUCAUCAUCACAAUAACUUUGGAGCGGAGCUAUCGGCACCCCCUUGAUAUCCUUUUCAAACCCCUUUUCUGCUUAUUUCCUCCUCAAUCCCUAAAAUAGCCUUUAUCUGUAAUUUUUCCGCAAACAAUUUCAACCUCCUUUCAGUUAUCACUCUUCAACCACUCCCACUUCAAGUUUCUUCUUUUUAUAGGAAAGGCUUUUGAUAACAACCCAAUAUUUUUUUGUUUUAAUUUUAUACUUUUCAGUUUAUGACAUUAUAUUUUAAAAUAAAUAUGUAUAAAAUACACACAAGGUUUAGUUAUCUCCUAGCAUUCUAAUAACGUUAGUAAUUUAUGAAAAUUUUAUAAAAUUAUCUUUCCUACAAAAAUAAAUUGUUAAGUGAAAAAAAUACUUUAUAUCAAAUUCUUACUCUUUUACCAUUGACCUUUUUUUUUCAAAAAAAAAAAUGGAACUUUUAAGUGCUUUAGUGGAGAAAGAGUCGGUGAGAAAAAAUCAUAUAUGAAUUUAAUAAGAUAAGAUUUAAGGGACAAAAUUGUAAAUGUAUAACAAGAGGGGUUUUAUAAGAAAAAUACAGGGGUGCCAAUAGCGUCACUCUAACUUUGGGCUUUGAUAUUUAAGGCUCCGUUUCGGACAAAUGCGUGGCAAUUGGACAACACAUCACUCAAUUAUAGAGUGUGAAAUAUUGAUAUUGUUCUUAUUAUUUUACGUAAUGUAUACAUUUUUCCUCUUAUUUUUGUUUGUUUAUUUAUUUUUGAUACUUAAUAAAUAUAAAUUUAUUUUUUAAUAUUUAAUAAAUAAUCCUAACCAGGCAAUAUUGCCAGAAAAUAACGAACAAUGAUCCAAAUCCUUUUAUUUUACAUAAAUAAUUUCAAUUCACAACAACUAUGACGUUACAUUACCAAACAAACACUAAAUAUUUUGAUUAUUGUAGUUUAUCUUUCAUUCAUAACAUGAAGAGUUUGAAAUAUGAUAUCAAAACAAAGAGUAUGACAUGUCGUGUUGUGUUCACAGAAGAAAUGUAAGCCAUGUCAUCCGAAAACUAAAAGGAACGUAUGACAAUCAGAAGCUGUCAUCUCUGAUUUGCUUACACUUUUAAGGAUAAAUUCUGGGUUUUCAGUGACAAUUAAAAGCUAGAGUGAGAAUUAGAGAGAGAGUUAGAUAUUCUUAUUCCUAGUCACUUGCUAUAUUUUGUAGGUCUUUUGUGACUCCAAUGAUAAAAUCGCUCAAUAUUUUUUUUUUGAUAGAGCCAUAUUUUUUAAAGCAUAAAGAAAGGCAGAAAUAUUGUAAAUCCAACUUAAAUUUUCUGUUCAUUGUGGUCGCUGCUAGUGCUAGCUGUUUUCUUAUUUAACUUUGUUCCCUUUUGCCAUCAGCUCUUUGCAUUUUCAUUGGAGCAAGCGACCCUUUUCUUGUUUCAAUUUCUGAUCUCAAAAGCACUCUGAUUCUCUGGACACUGAUUUUCUCCUUGUUUUGUACAAAUAUCAUUUCUCUUUCCCAUUUAGCCUUGAUUUGCUUCUACUUGACUAUCAAUUGCCCAGUCGUUGACCCUGUUGUAUUUCUAGUUCGUUCACUCCCCCCCCCUCCCCCCCAAAAAAAAUGGACAUUUUGAAAAGCAUUGUCCUAGGAGUUGUAAACUGCUUUGCUCCUCUAGCACAACACGAAUUUAGUUAUUGGCAUAACUCCGGUGCUAACUUUGACAAUCUCAAGGCAGAACUCGAUAGGCUCAAGGAUAAAAGAGAAAGAAUUCAGCGCAGAGUUUCUGAGGCUGAAAGAAAAAAGUGAAAAGAUUGAAGAGAUGGUUGAGAAAUGGCUGGUUAAUGUGAACAAGAGAAUUGACCAGGCAGCCAAAUUCAUUCAAGACGAAGAGGCAGCAAAUGAUGGCCGAUGUCUCAUGGGGCUGUUUCCUGAUUGGUUUGCUCGCUAUCAGCAUGGAAAGAAAGCAGAAACAGAGAAGGAGGCCCUUUCUAAACUCCGAGAAUAAGCUGAGAGAUUUGAUAAUAGAAUUUCCUACCCUACCAUUCGGGAGGAUAUAUGGCUCAAGUCUAACAAAGACUACGAGAACUUCGAAUCAAGACUUACUACUUUCAAGGAUAUACGAAAGACAUUAACUGAUGUUAAUGUCAGCAUCAUUGGGGUGUACGGCAUGGGCGGCAUUGGAAAGACGACACUGGUGAAGGAGUUUGCUAGGCGAGCCAUUGAAGACGAGCUUUGUGAUAUGGUGGUUUUUUCGGAGGUUACCCAAAGUCCAGACAUAAAACAGAUCCAAUAGGAAAUUGCGGAAAAGCUAGGCCUAGAGUUGUCCGAGGAAGCUGAGUUUAGAAGAGCUAGUAGAAUAUUUGAAAGAUUGAAGAAUGAGAAGAAGAUCCUUAAGAUUCUGGAUAACAUCUGGAAAUCUCUUGAUUUGGGGACUAUUGGAAUUCCUUAUGGGGUUGAGCAUAGAGGAUGUAAAUUAUUAUUCACUACAAGAGAUCUUGAUGUGCUGAUAAGGAUGGGAUCUGAGAAACAAAGAGCUGCCUGAGUGGAAGAAUGCCAUGCAAGAACUCCAAAUGCCUUCAGAGACAAGCUUCGACGAAGGAGUACCAGCAGAGGCACACUCAACAAUUGAGCUGAGUUACAAGUAUUUAGGUAAGCAACUCAAGGAAACGAUUUUACUAUGUAGUCUUAUUGCACCAACUUCAAUUAUGGACUUGAUCAAUUAUAGCAUGGGUUUGGGGUUUUUUGAAAGUGUCCUUAAGCUAGAAGAGGCACAUAACAAAUUACAUGCAUGGGUCCGUCAACUAAGAGACUCUUGUUUGCUGCUUGUGGAUGGUAGCAGUAAAUUCUUUUCUAUGCAUGAUGUUCUUCGCGAUGUUGCCAUUUCAAUUGCAUGUCGUGACAUGAAUGCAUUUGUGGUGAGAAAUAAGAAUAUGUGGGAAUGGCCAAAUCCAGAUGCAUUAAAAAAAUAUCUUGCAAUCUCUUUAAUAAAUAGUCGUAUUAAUGACAUUCCUGAAGGGCUGGAAUCUGCACAACUUGAAUUUUUACUUAUGAUUCCCAAGAACUCUUUUUUUGGGCUCAAUAUUCCUGAGAACUUCUUUAAAGGGGUGAAAAAGCUUCGGGUUGUAGCUUUGGUAAAAAUGCGGUUAUCAUCAUUGCCAUCUUCAAUCUAUCUUCUAGUAAAUCUUCAAACACUUUGCCUUGAUCAAAGCAUUUUGAGAGACAUAGACAUAGCCAUUAUUGGAAAGUUGAAAAAUCUAAAAAUCCUUAGCUUUGUGCGGUCUGAUAUUGUGCAGUUGCCUAAAGCACUAGGUGAACUGACUAAGCUACGGCUGUUAGAUUUAACAGACUGUUUCCAUCUAAAAGUUAUUGCUCCAAAUGUCAUAUCAAGCUCAACCCGAUUAGAAGAAUUGUAUAUGGGUAAUUGCCCCAUUGAAUGGGAGGUUGAAAGAUCCAAUAGUAAAAGAAGUAAUUCUAGCCUUGAUGAAUUGAUGAAUUUACCUUGGCUAACCACUCUAGAAAUUGAUGUUAAAAAUGACAGUAUUUUACC